rnacentral:lncRNA from 1 species
UUUGAUUACAAACAAGCACAAGCAUAGUGGCAGCAGCAAACAGAGAGGAAGUAAACAUCUCUGAAAAAACAGAAUAAGUGCUACUAGAAAAUAAAGAAGUCUGUAUUCAAAAUUGCAGGUCUUCUCAUCAGGUUGGUCAGAAUCGAUUUUUUAUCUGGGCUAACGGUUGCAACUUGUAAACACCUCCUGAGUAGCGGUGCAAGCUUGCUACUCCCCUCGAUAACACUGAAGCCCCGACCCCCGAGACCAAUCCGUUCCUCUUACAUUUGCAGUGGAGAAAUGUUAAGAUCCCUCUCAGCUUCACCUUCCACCAUAUCAGAGGCCACAACCUAGCAGAGAACUUGGAGAGUUGAACGUGAUGGCUAAUUGCAGCAUGACAGUACCUAUAUGCAGCUUAAGAAGCAGCAGCAUCUCCCGAACUGAGGUAAAAUACGGAGCAUUAGUUAGUACAUUUCAUCAGCUGAUGCAUGGUCGCAAGCUGAAAAUGAUACCAUGACAAAAACAAAAAGGUGUUGUAAAUGAACUGACCAGUUAUUGGUGUGAUCACAGUUCAUACAUUAGAACAUUCUCAUAUGUUGCAGAAGCAUGCACCACGGUCGGAUCUCAUCUGUCAAAGUUCUCCAGCUCCUCCUAGAUAUCAAGAUUUAUUACAUUGUGCAAUGCAACAAAGUGGAUUAUUAGAAAUAUUUUUUUUUGAAAAGGAGGAUUACCUCCGGCCUCUGCAUCAGUCGAUGCAUGCAACCAUAUUAUUAAAAUCGUAGCAAAGUCUUAGCAUUCGAUGAAGCUCAAAAUUCGAGCAAAUAAAAAGGAGAAAAUAAAAAUGUAAAGCGCCACAUCCAGCGAGAAAGAACAGACUACGAUGCCGACACACCUAGCCUAUUAUUAGGUCGUCAUCCAAAUCGGCUGAAGAUAACCCGUGCUACCGUCUCCCAGCGGUUGCACCAAGUAACCAUAUGCCCUCUGUAGUCCGCAUGAGUGAGUAACGAUCACAUACGGAUCCAGGCUGUAGCUCUGUAGAUAACCUGCAAAAAAAUAGUGAAUUUUGCACUAUUAAAAAUCAUAUCGUUUCUAGCGUUCCAUAUAGCCCAUAGUAAUGCACAUAUCCCUAUCGAGAUAUGUUUAGCUAUGUGUAUGUCUACUCCAUUAAGCCACGUCCCAAAUAACGUGUUUAUGCUCAUUGGAGGAUGAAUGUUGAAAGCUAUAUGAAUAGAUCUCCAUAAUAAUUUUGCAAGUGGACACUCGAGAAAGAGGUGUUUAAUCGUUCCAUUUUGAUCACAAAAACAGCACCUAGAAUUACCAACCCAAUUCCUUUUCGUCAGAUUAUGUUUGGUCAAGAUGAUCCCUUUGUGGAUGAACCACAUAAAGAUCUUGAUACGGAGUGGUACUUUAAUCUCCCAUAUGUGUAAUGGCGUUGACAAUGGUCCAGAAUCUAUUAAGUCUAAAUACAUGGAUUUCACGGAGAAUAAUCCAUUUGUGGUUAACUUCCAACGAAUUUUAUCUGCCUGGUCUGAAAGUUGAACAUCCAUCAACCUACGUACCAUAUGUAACCAAGCGUUCCAACGUUCCCCCAUAAGAGAUCUCCUAAAUUGGAUUUAAGUGGUAUUGAGUUUAAUACUGUGGCGACAUAAUCCUCCUUACGUUGCACAAUAUUAUAUAGGGAAGGAUAUUGUAAAGCCAGAGGCGUCUCCCCUAGCCAUAUGUCCUCCCGGAAUCUUGUAGAGGUACCACUACCAAUUAAGAAUUUCACCCGCUGGAAGAAAGUUACUUUUGUCUUCAUUAACCCUUUCCAAAACAGCGAGUCCGUUGGCCUUGUAUUCACCUGGGCCAAAGUCUUAGUAUGUAGGCAUUUAUUCCGCAAGAUUUAUAUAGGGAAGGAUUAUUAGAAAUAAAUGCUUAACAAAAAAAGCGAAUCAGAAGACCACGACAAAGUUUACAGUAUAAAUUAGUCCUUAGAUGUCUAGCAGAUAAGUUUACAGUAUAUCAGAGGCCACCACCCAGCAGAGAACUUGGAAAGCUGAACGAGAUGGCCAAUUUCAGCAUGAAAGUAUGCAUAUGCAUCUUAAGAAGCAGCAGCAUCUCAUGUGGUGUAGUCAAUUGCAUUUUACACGUCUUCUCCCCAGCUGAAAUGCAUAUACAGCGCAUUAAUUAAUUAGUACAAUACAUAUCAUCAACAGAUGCAUGUUCGCAAACUGAAAAUGCUAUCAAGAAACAUAAGUAUAUGGAGAUCCAACAUAACAUGAAAAGGAGCUGUAGAUGAACUGACCAGUUAUCAGCAUGAUCACAGAUUCACAGUUCACAUUUCAGAAUAUCCAGUCUCCUUUGCAAGCACCCUGCUCAAUUCUCAUCUGCCAGAGUUUCUUAAGCUCCUCCUAAAUAUCAAGAUUUCUGACAUUUGAAAAUGCUAGCACAUUGUGAGCACUAAUAUCUCCCUAGCAUAUACAAUUAUAUACUGAGAUACACGAGGUUAGCCGGUGCCCACCUCUGGUACUUCCAUGGAUUAAACCCUCCUCCUUCAGAAGAAAAUCAGGUAAUGCUCGGCCACAAGUCGCACUAAUUGCAUCAUGACAUUGAUGGUCGAUUGCAUUUUCUCCAGAAAUACAUAUACAGAGCAUGCAUGAGUUCAUUUUAUCAGCAAAUCUAUUAUGUGUUCUACUUCUAUCCGAAAACCACACUGAAUAAUGUAGACAAUACUCACUACAAAUAAAGAAAAGGAGCCGUUGCUUGCUUAACUGACCAGUUAUCAUGCUUUGGAGCCGGACUGUUGAGUGUCGAGCAUGUGAACUCCCUACUGGAUCAGAAAGAAAUCCCAUGGCUUCGAACUUCCCUUGACAUUUCUUGGCAGCACAUAAUGGCUGAGAAGCUCCCUGCUCAGUUCCCAUCUAGUAAGCAGAGUUGCUCCGGUUCGUCCUAGAUAUCAUGAUCUCUGUUAUUUUUAUUCUGAACACCGAUAACAAACACAACAACAACCAAAGAACAAAAAUAGAAUCUUAUUCUCUGCUACAAAGUGAAUUAGGAUUAUAUGAAAUGAAAGUAGUCACCUGCAAAAUCAUCUUCUUGUUUGCACGCCCCCGACUCCUCCUGUGUCGCCCCUGCGUGCCAACCGGGGGGAACCCUAGCGCCGCCGCGUCCUCGUCCCUCCCCCGACCUCUCCUCCUCGCCGCCGCCGGGGCGCGCCGCCGGGCAAAGCCCGGUCGGCAUCGGCGGCGGCGGGGUCUCUUCUCCCACGGCUCGCUGGAUUUGGCGCGGGCGGAUCACGGCGGUGGUUGGCGGCACGCUGGAGGAGGUGCGCGCCGGCGCGGGCUUGGGGGCGACGGCAGUUUCCCCUGGUGUGCGUGGGAGUCCGCUCGGGGCGCGUGGCGGCGGCCCUCGGCAAGCGUUGGCGGGCGUUGGGCUCUCGGUGGUGCACCUGCAUGUGCAGACGGCGGUGGUCCCUGUUCGCGGUCGGCGGCUCCGUCUCUGACCCGGACGACGCGGGGGAUGGCGGCGGCCUGGCAUGGCCGGCGAUCUGGAUGCGGUGGUGCCAGCGGCUCACUGAUCUGCCGGUGCUCCAGGGUUCUGCCUGGUGGUGCUGGUGGUGACGGCGGCCCGUGCACGAGAGUUUGAUCCCUUCGAACUGAUCUGGGUGAAAACUUGCCUUCGGCGUCUGCUAAGGCCGGCGGUGGCGGCGCUAUCUGCGUCGUUCACUUUUUGAAGGCAUCAUCGUGGAGAAGUUCAAGGCCACUCUCUGCUAUCUCUGGGGAAACCCUAGAUCGGAUGAUCGGAUGACGGCGCUCUGGUGUCGUUCCUCCCUUGGGGGCGUCAUUCUUGGAGGUACACACGUGAUCGUGGGACCAGAGGACGGAUUCUUUGAUGGAGUGGUGCUUCAUCGUACACACUGAUAGCGACGGAUCCUAACGGCGUGGUGCAGUGCAGAUUCGGAGUUCGCUGUGGGAGGAUGGACUCGCGCAGGAGGACGACACUGUCGGACAUCGUGGUGGCGUCGAUGGCAGAGAGACCUGACACGGACACACGGUACAUGCAACAUUACAACUCUGAAGAUGGAUUGGUGGCAGGUGGCUGCGGCGGCCUCAUACCCAGUAGGCGUCCCCCAUACCCGGUAGGCAUCCUGGUUGGGACCUCAGAUCUUAGAUGUUUAGAUUUAGCUGUGAUGUCUAUUUGGUAUUAGGCCCAGACUAUCUGCGCUUCUUCAUCAAUUGGAUAGGUGUAGCGACAGUUGUUGCUUAGACGGUGGCUUUAAUCUUAUUGUUGUAUGGCCUUGUAAAGUCUUGUGAGAAUAAUUAAUAAAGUGGUCGUAUGCAUCACCCAGAUGCAGAGGCCGGGGGUCAUCCUUCUUUUCUAAAAAAAAAAUACCUGCAGGCUGCAGUCAGGUAACUGCAACAUACUAUAAGCUUUUCAUACCGAAGAUAGCCAACAGCAGGUCAUGAAAUAUGCAUCUAAAAGUAGUCGUGUUCAAUUUUAAAUUUAGUUGCACACACAUAGCCUCUUAGAGACGUUGAGACAAAUAGUUGGCAUGCGUGAAAGAAAGUUUGGCAAACAUCGCAAGAAAUCAGAUGGAAUAAAACAACAUCGAAGGAGGUUCCAGCUGUACCAACAUGCAUAUGCCGUCAGAAGAUGGCGGCAGUAAUCAGAACAAGCAACGGGAAAGGAAACAGAUGGCUAUAUCAUCAGUAGUAGCAACAAAUGUAAGCAAGCAACAUCUCCUGUUAGAGAGAGAGACAAACAUGGUGACAAACCCAAUGUGAACUAGCACUGCCAGACAUCAGAUGGCAGGAAAUAAACAGAUGGAAAUUCUACCUUAGAUAGCAGAUUUACGAAGUCAAAGUGGCAAAGCCUUGCGAUGCCUUGUAAAUCUGGUACCUAAAGGUGAGUUUUGGAAGGUUCUUGACACCAAUGAUCCCUCAUUCCAACCUGCAAUUGUAGAAUUUCAUCUUUGCCAUGUGGGGUGAGGUGCCCUCCUCGAAUCUCACCUCUCCCAGUCCAGUAAUGGCAUCAAAAUCUACUAUUCUGAGAUUCUUGAAUGCUCCCUCUCUAAAGAGCAGCUUCCCUCACUAGUAGAAAACAGGGGCUUUCGUCCAAACUCAAUAUACACAUUAGUUCCGAUUGCGUCAUGAACCAGGACUAAUGCUCACAUUAGUCUUGGUUCGAGCGGCUAAGGCGUCGGGAAGGCAUUAGUCCCGAUUCAUAUGGAACCUUUAGUUCCGGUUUGAGACACGAACCGGGACUAAAAGGGGACUAAAGGGUGCCUUUUAGUCCCGGUUCGUGUCUCAAACCGGGACUAAAGGUUCAAACUCUACCCCCUCCCCUUGUAUCGCCUUUUCAAUUUUUUAAAAAACAAAAGAAAAUGAUAAAAACUUCAAAAAUUAAAAUCCUUCGAGAUGUAGUUAUGUUACUACAUCUACUAGCUAGGAAAAUUAAAAAAUAUAAAUUUGGACAUGUUUUGUAAAAAAGUGUUAAAAUAAACCGACCAUAUCUUUUGCAUACGAUGUCGAAAAAAACGCAUAAUAUAUCAAAAAAAUCAGCACGAAAAUCCGGAUCUGUAGGCCUGUUUGCAAAUUUUUAGAAUCCUCAAAUUCUGAAAGAAAAAAAAGAUAUGCUCAAAUUUCAGUUCUUUUAAAUUUUUGUUAAAUCUGGUCAAACUGUGGUCAAACUAUGUUUUGUCAAACUACUUAUUCAAGAAAUAUUAGUGUUAAUAAAUAAUUAUUUUGGUUUUUUUGAAAUUUUUGUCAAACUAUAGUCAAAUCUGGUCAAACUAUGGUCAAACCAGUUAUUCAAGAAAUAUUAGUGUUACUAAAUAAUUAUUUUAGUUUUUAGAAUUUUGGUCAAACUGUGGUCAAACUAUGGUCAAAUCUGGUCAACCUGGGGUCAAACUAUGGUCAAACUGCUUAUUCAAGAAAUAUCAGUGUUACUAAAUAAUUAUUAUUUUUUGGAAUAAUAGUUUCAAACUCAAACAGUGCUUAAUGCUCAACAACUCCUAAGGGUUAAAUAUGAUUGACAGCUUAGUAUUGUUAGGAAAAUAACAAGUGCAGACUUGGAAAUUAGGGGGAAUAGAAGUCGAAAGUUAAGUGUGCUCAUGCUAGAGUAGUGAAAGGAAGGGUGACCCCUCGGGAAGUUAGACGAUUUGGAAUGAUUGGUUCAUAAUUGAGCAGUGAGCAGUGAUGAGGGGUGAUUAGAGAUUAAAUUGUCAAAUAAUUCAGAAAUUACAAAUUAGAAAAAUCAUUUUUUUUUCAAAAAAAACAAAAAAACAAUAUUUCAAAAAAAUACAUUUAGUCCCGGUUGGUAACACAACAGCGACUAAAGGUUGAGCUCCAGACAGCGACCACGUGGAGGGCCUUUAGUCCCGGUUCGUAAGAUAACCACGACUAAAGGGGGAGGGGGGGGGGGGGCUUUAGUACCGACCCUAAAGGCCCUCAGGAACCGGGACCAAUGGCCCGUUUUCUACUAGUGCCUCCAGCAUAAGAAUUCUUAUAAGGAGCAAGAAGCAUGAGAUUGGGUAGUGUCCCUUGUAAUUCCACGGUUUUACCUCCCUUCCAUUCGGUCCCAUAUAAUUCAAUCUUCACUAAAUGCAUCAAACUUCCAAUCCUGUCCAGCAUUUCUCCAAGAAAUCCAUCCAGCUUGAGGCUCCUGAUGAGUGGGGGAGGAGAAGAAACUGAAUGCAGCCAAUUAUGUGUCGCAGAUUCUCCGCCACGUGACGCAUAUUGUCCUCCGACACACAGUCCGCCUUAGCACUCGGGAACAAGGCAUGCACGUGUUUCUAGAUUUCCAAAUUUUCAAUGUGUAUCCAAAAAAAGAUUAACAUGUGUUCGGAAAAAAUACUCGACGUGUAACAAAAAAUUGUUGAACGUUUGUUAAAAAAAUGUUGAACAUGUAUUCAUAAAAUGUUAAACAUGUAUCUCAAAAACAUUUAAUGUCUGUUCAGAAACUUGUUGAACAUGAAUCUAAAAACUAUCAGCAUGGUUUUUGAAAAUGGGAACGAAAAAAAUAACAAAAUAAUUAGGAAACAGAAAAGAAGUGAAAAAACAAACAAAAAUAAAAGGUAAAAAUACAAAAAUAAUAGAAAAGGGAAGAAAAAUAAAAACACAAAAGUAGAAAACGAAAGGAGAAAAAUAUAAAAUAAAAUGAAAUAAAAAUAGCGAUGGAAGAACAAAAAAACGAAAAUAAAAGGUAAAUGAAUAAACAAAAAGCAAAAAAGAAGACAUAAAUCAUAAAAAAGGGACCGGUCAGUGCUAGUAGACAAGAAGAUGAAGAAAAUCACCCUAUGGCAAAAUGAGCGACUGAACAUACAACGACCGAGGCGAGUAGAGCCACAACCGAGCGAGUGAAACUCAUUCAAUGGCCUGGCCCACUUGUGUCAUUACUAAAGGCGAAAGCUAUAUCCUCCUAAAGGGGACUAAAAGAAAGCUCUGGUACUCCAUAAUCCAAUCUCGGGGUUCAGGAGUCAGAGAGGCAAAAAAUGAUACCAUUUUUAGAAUGUGAAAUUCCUCUUCUCUUCUUUCCAAUUUCUCUAGCUACGUAGCAACUUUGAUAUAAAAGCAUGGAAAUAGUAGGGCACUGCACAAUCUCAUGCUCUGUCAUCUUCGAUGGCAAACUUAUAUUUGGGGAGAAGAGAGGAUUCAGUCGGAUGCAUUACCAAAUCUUAGAGGGAGAUGAUUUGAGAAGAGCACAUCGAGAAAGAUGGAAAGUAGUUCAUUGCGAAUGGUGUUCUGGAUUGCUGGCAUGAAACAACUUUAGAGGCUCAUGACGAUCUCAGAUGGUUUCCUUUUGACAAGUGGAGAAACUUGAGGUGCUUAAAAGAGAGCCAGAAGCACAACCCAACAACAGGACUUGGAACAGAUUUUUUUAUACAUCUUCUUCCCCAACUAUUGUAUUGAUAUACAAAUCUUUUUUUUUGCGAGAAAAUUUUCGAUCUAUUUAUCAACUGUCAAGGCAAUACCAAAAACACUAGAGGUAUAAAUUACACCAUGUCCGUAGACCAUCUAGUGACGAUUCUGCACUCAUAAUGUUUACAUUCGGGCUUGAAUGGAACAACACUACACUAUUAGCCUAAGCAUGUGUUGGAUAUAUAUANNNNNNNNNNNNNNNNNNNNNNNNNNNNNNNNNNNNNNNNNNNNNNNNNNNNNNNNNNNNNNNNNNNNNNNNNNNNNNNNNNNNNNNNNNNNNNNNNNNNNNNNNNNNNNNNNNNNNNNNNNNNNNNNNNNNNNNNNNNNNNNNNNNNNNNNNNNNNNNNNNNNNNNNNNNNNNNNNNNNNNNNNNNNNNNNNNNNNNNNNNNNNNNNNNNNNNNNNNNNNNNNNNNNNNNNNNNNNNNNNNNNNNNNNNNNNNNNNNNNNNNNNNNNNNNNNNNNNNNNNNNNNNNNNNNNNNNNNNNNNNNNNNNNNNNNNNNNNNNNNNNNNNNNNNNNNNNNNNNNNNNNNNNNNNNNNNNNNNNNNNNAUUUAAGACGUAAGAAAAAACAUAUAGUCGCCAUAAAAAAUAUUUUAUGUUACAUAAAUUACAAAUGUAAAAGCAUAGUGUAAAAUGUACAUAAAAUGUAUUUCUGGUCUUAUGACUUUUUUAAUGCUAAAUUUUACGCAGUGAAUCAAAAUGACUGUAACUAUUUGUAUUUGAAACAUAAUUUAUUUAUGAAAUGAUCGCAAGAUUACCUGGGGUGAAGACUAAUUUAUUCUGCACCCUGGGUGAUGAAUAAUAACACUAAAUUAUGUGGGAUUGACUAUUCGUCACAUAUAUAUAUAUAUAUAUAUAUAACUGUCCACAUGAGGAGGGCCACAAAUAUCUGUAAAUUUCCACUAAAGGUAGGGGAGUACGAGAGUGGCGCAGGAUGACAGAAGUAUGAGAAUGGAAGUAAAAAUGGUGUUGUACACAUGGUGCAAACUUAACAAAAUGUUUUUUCAUAUUACACUUAGCAAAUUUAAUUACACACCUUUUACAAAAACUAAUCUGGUAAGAAUGAAAAAAUAAAUUUUUAUGAAAUUUAACAUUAUUUAAAACAUAUUUUGUUCGUCACUCUUUUACUAAUGCACAAUAUUAACAAAUAUAUGUAGAUAUUGCAUUUCUGAAAAUGAAACACAUUUUAUAUUUAUUUAAAACUUAUUCUAUCAACGUACAUCACUAUGAACUAUAUUUAGCUAUUAAGCAUAGCAAAAUUUAUUAUACUUUUUAUUUCUGUAUAACCCAUUCUGUUACUAAAUAUAUUAAUGUAAGAUGCUCCUGAAUAUAUAUGUAAUAUAAUGCUGCUAAAUAUUAAGGUAAGAUGCUCCUGACCAUAUAAAUUUAGCAUGAAGCAUGGCUAAUAUACUCAUAUGAAAUUUUAGCCAUAUUUGUCAAGAAAAUGUACAUAAGUUGAAUAUAUGUGUGUCACUUCAACGAAUUAUUGUUCGCCUUCUAGUAUACUUAAAUACCUUUUGUCAAGUAUAUCUCUGAUUCAUAUUGUCUAACAAUUAUCGUCAUACAUGCUUCUAGAGUAAAUGAUUGCCCAUAUGAUGUGCAAGUAUCUAGAGUUCAUGAGAUGUUUAUAACGGCCAGUCCUUAAAUCCUUGACGUUACUUGUUUAUUGAUUUUUUAUGGACAGAUCACAUGUUCUCACAAUGCACGCAUGCUCGAUAUUUAGUCGAUAUUGCAAUAUCGCAACGCUUAUAAAAAAAAUUAAAGGAGAAUUUGUGUACCCAUUACUUUUUGCUUUGAUAUAUAUAUUCCGCAUAAAACCCAUCAAUUAUUAGUGACUUUCUCCACACAUAGAAAAUGUGUAUUAACUUUCUUAGUACAAUUUCCUCACCAAGUUUGCUCAUCACUUGGUUCUUUGCUUAGGUGGACAAUCUUGAUUUUCUUCAAGGGAAAGUGGAUGCCAGCACCAACCAUCAUGUGAUGUGACUCGAGAAAGUCUAGAGCGACCAUGUGCAUAUGUGCUCUAGUAUGAUUUUUUUUACAAAGAGGGGGCACGAGCGGCGCCUUUCAUUAAACUGAAGUAAAAGUUACAGACUUGAUAUUACACAGUUUGACAUUAAUAUUGCCUAGCUUAAAAAGUAUAGGACAUUGAUAUGCUAAAUGAAGUUUGCUUUUACAAGUCAAGAUAGGGCUGACAUUGAUAUGUGAACAAUAUGUUGUAGUUGCAUUGUUAUGAGCCGUACUGCUGAGUUCCCUGGGAAUGUGGUAGACUGAUGUCUUAGCAUGGCUAGUCAUAGCAAGAAAAUUUGUUAGAUAUCUCCUAAUCUGCCAAUGCCCAGGAUUGCUAUGAAUAUUUUUGGACACUGCUGCCUGGGCUAAAAUCUGAUUAUCUGUGUAGAAAGCAAUGUCUCUUGUGCAGGGACUGCCACUGUAUCUGCACUCUGCUUUGUAUGGGAAGUUAUGUAUGAGAAACUGGGAAAUGUAAAGCAACCGAGCAAGUUUCGCAAAACUGAAUUUCACUCAUUCAUAUUAGCCGGCUCCAUCUUCCACAUGUAACAUCCUAUGUGGCUACGCACAGAUGAUACAUCUUCCACACGGAACAUCCUAUGUGGCCAUUCGUAGAUUUCAAUUUAGCGUUGGGAAUUUUGCUCUUCUGUACAUUUCUUUUUCAGAAAAGAAGGAUGACCCUGGCCUCUGCAUCUGGGAGAUGCAUGCAGUCAUUUUACUGAUUAUUCUCGAGGACCUUACAAAAUAGAACAACAAUAUGUCUGAAUUCGCCAUCUUGGCAACAUCUGCCGCUACUCCUAUCCAUAUGAUGAAGGGGUGCAAGCCGGGCCACAUACCCAGACCUCUCACCUAAGCCUAACAUGUAAAGCCGGAGGUCCUGGCCGAGCCAUCUACCGGAUCCGGGGCACAAACUGGUCCAAUGCACUCACAUAUGUCGUCGCCGCCAUUUUCCACUGGUCCAUCUUCAGAGCAGAUUGAGGUGUCAACCUUAGCAGGUCCACCACCAUAGACGCCAUCACGAUGUCAUACGACGACAUCCACCUACGCGAGCCUUGGCAGGUCUUCCGCCGUGGACGCCACCGCGACGCCAAACGACGAACUCCACCUGUGUGACUCCAUCUCCAAGCAAAGGACGUAGAUCCAUGCUAGGAUAGGUCUGCAUCACCGCUGUCGCACACCACCCACGAUCGCCACACAACCCCAAGGUUCCCAAAGUGGCGCCUUCAAGAAAGUAACGACGCCGUGAGCGCCGCCGCCGCACAACAAAGUUAGGGCUUUCGCCCGGGAGACCUAGAGGAAGGGGAAGUGAGGAGAUCAGUCCAUACCGAUGCCUCCAAGGAUGGGAAGGGCACCCUUGGCAUCACCGUCGGCGCAGUCGGCCAUCGCCGGUCAGGGAUUUCACCCGAACUAGAUCCCCGCAACUAGCAGCGCCUCCUGUACAGAACCGGCGACCAAGGGAAGUGCGACUCGACCAGGCUGUCCCACACGCUGAACAGGGAAGGAGGGGAGGCGCCAGAUCACGCGCACCGAGCACCGCAGAAGCCGCCGCCAGCCGCCAACGACCACUAGGAUCCCGCCGCCUGCGCGGUCACGACGCCAGAUGCACCUCCCGCACGACUUCUCGUCAGAGCCUGUCAUGCCUCGCCAAAGGAGCCGCCGCUCCAGAUCCGAGACUCCCCACGCAGAGGCAAGGCAGCCGAGACCCUGUCGCCACCAUCCUUGGCGCCCCGGGCUUGCCCGGCGGCUGCCUCGGGCGGCGGCGAGGAGGUGGGACGAGGUCGGGAGGGGGCCGAGGCGGCGCGGCUAGGGUUCCCCCGCCGCCGCCUGGGGAGACGACGCGGGGAUCGCAAGAGGGAGGAGCACUCUUCCAGGGAGAGAGAAAAACAGAUGAGUAAAAGAAACUCUUUGCUUUUCUGUACUAGUACUAUGUAAGCACUUGGUGUCAUAUUAAUAUGCCUACUUUGUAAAUUUAGAAUUUCUACUUUCCACCAUUUUGUAGACGGGAAACAACCAAUUGGCACUGCCAUCGACUAAUGCAACGGCGCCGGCUAGUGAUAUGCGUUAUAUCGAUUGCUGCCCACGCCAAUCCUAACCCCCUCUGGUUUUGAUUUGACUUUAGCGUCCCAGUGGCAGAGGAAGGGGAAGGAAGAAGGGAGUCACGUGAUCCUCGUUGUCGACGGCGACGGUCCAAGCCGACAAGCCGGAAUUGGAAGCUGGCGAAGUCCCCGCCACCGCCGCCUGGUGAGGGCAUCGGCGACUCGGUGUGGCGUUCGCUCGGAAAUAACUGAAGAGAGGGGCCGGCAGUGCGACGGGCUUGGUUUCGCUUGCUCGGCCGGCCGAGUCUCGCCCGAGACACAGUUAUUCCCUAUUCAAAUUUUGUUUCUGCUAUGAACCAGUAGUAUUUACAACCUGAAAAAAAUGAACCAGUACUAAAAUUACCAUCUAAAAAAAUGAACACUCAACCAUCACUUCAUCGAUGAAUGAGGAUGAUCAAGUCUAUAUACAAGAGCGAAAUGCACCUAAAUCCAUUAAACCUGGCGGGGUUUUUACAAACCGGUCCAUUCAGCACUAUCAGGAAAAAUCUUAUACACAGAAACUUACUAUUAACGCGGCUCAAAAAGAAGCGAUCUACAAUUCACCACUAGCGCGCGGCAACCAAACACGCUGCAACUAAGUUUGUAGCAGUAGCACGUCUCACGAAAGAAGCGCUACAACUAUAAUUCCCCUACUGUUCUUGCCAGGCUACCAAUAGUAGUAGCGAACUUAAGCAAAGCGCGCUGCUGCUAGGAUUGUUGUAGCAGCGUGUUUUACGCAGAAAGCGCAACUGCUAAUGAAAGAAAAAUAAAAUAAAAAACAUAUAGAAAAUUAAAUGAAAAUGAAAGAAAUAGAAAAAAGGAAGGAAAAUAUAAAAUGUGAAGGACAAUAAAUAAAAAGAAAAAUAAAGGAGAAAGGCGUAUCAGCAGCGUGCUUUCAGGACAGGCGCUAUAGCUAACUUAGUAGUAGCACGUUUCGUCAUCUAGUGCUAUAGGUAAGUUAGCUAUAGCUAAUGUAGGAGUAGCGCGUUUCCUGGCCACGCUACUGCUAUUUUUGACUUAACCGCGCGGUUCCUUUUUCCCACGGUCACUUCCCCCAAAUCCAACUCGUUUGCUGUCGCCGCCAUCGUCGCCCUACAUCGCCGUCGGCCGCCGCGCGCUCUCCGUCGCCCUCUGCACGCCCUCAAUGCCGCCCCUGAUACGUCUCCAACGUAUCUAUAAUUUAUGAAGCAUUCAUGCUAUUUUAUUAUCUGUUUUGAAUGAUUACGGGCUUUAUUAUACACUUUUAUAUUACUUUUGAGACUAACCUAUUAACCGGAGGCCCAACCAAUAUUGCUGUUUUAUUGCAUAUUUUAGUAUUUCGAAGAGAAGGAAUAUCAAACGGAGUCCAAACGGAAUGAAACCUUCGGCAGCGUGAUUUUUUGGAAGAAUAUGAUCCUGGAGACUUGGAGUUCACUUCAGAAGUUCCUCGAGGAGGCCAGGAGAUAGGAGGGCGCGCCCACCCCUCCUGGGCGCGCCCCCUGUCUCCUGGGCCCCUCAAGUACCCCCCCAACCGACUUCUUUCGCCUAUAUAAGUCCACGUACCCUAAAAACGUCGACAACGAAGAUAGAUCGGGAGUUCCGCCGCCGCAAGCCUCUGUAGCCACCAAAAACCUCUUGGGAGCCCGUUUCGGUACCCUGCCAUAGGGGGAACCCAUCACUGGUGGCCAUCUUCAUCAUCCCGGCGCUCUCCAUGACGAGGAGGGAGUAGUUCACCCUCGGGGCUGAGGGUAUGUACCAGUAGCUAUGUGUUUGAUCUCUCUCUCUCUCUCUCUCUCUCUCUCUCUCUCUCUCUCUCGUGUUCUCUCUAUGGCACGAUCUUGAUGUAUCGCGAGCUUUGCUAUUAUAGUUGGAUCUUAUUAUGUUUCUCCCCCUCUACUCUCUUGUAAUGGAUUGAGUUUUCUCUUUGAAGUUAUCUUAUCGGAUUGAGUCUUUAAUGAUUUGAGAACACUUGUUGUAUGUCUUGCCAUGCUUAUCUGUGGUGACAAUGGGAUAUCAUGUGCCACUUGAUGUAUGUUUUGGUGACCAACUUGCGGGUUCCGCCCAUGAACCUAUGCAUAGGGGUUGGCACACGUUUUCGUCUUGACUCUCCGGUAGAAACUUUGGGGCACUCUUUGAAGUACUUUGUGUUGUUUGAAUAGAUGAAUUUGAGAUUUGUGUGAUGCUUAUCGUAUAACGGAUACUUGAGGUGACAAUGGAGUAUCUAGGUGUGAUACGUCUCCAACGUAUCUAUAAUUUUUUAUUGUUCCAUGCUAUAUUAUUAUCUGUUUUGAAUGAUUAUGGGCUUUAUUAUACACUUUUAUAUUACUUUUGGGCUAACCUAUUAACUGGAGGCCCAGCCCAUAUUGUAGUUUUAUUGCCUGAUUCAGUAUUUCGAAGAAAGGGAAUAUCAAACGAAGUCCAAACGGAAUGAAACAUUCGGCAACGUGAUUUUUUGGAAGAAUAUCAUCCUGGAGACAUGGAGUUCAAGUCGGAAGAUACUCGACGACUCCACAAUAUAGGAGGGCGCGCCCCUAGGGGGGCGCCCCCCUAUCUCAUGGGCCCCUCGAGCACCUCCCGGCCUACUUCUUUCGGCCAUAUAGUCCCACGUACCCUAAAAACUCCCAUGGAGAGGAUAGAUCGGGAGUUCCGCCGCCGCAAGCCUCUGUAGCCACCAAAAACCUCUCGGGAGCCCUUCCCGGCACCCUGCCGGAGGGGGGAACCAUCACCGGUGGCCAUCUUCAUCAUCCCGGCGCUCUCCAUGACGAGGAGGGAGUAGUUCACCCUCGAGGCUGAGGGUAUGUACCAGUAGCUAUGUGUUUGAUCUCUCUCUCUCUCGUGUUCUCUCUCGUGUUCCCUCUAUGGCACGAUCUUGAUGUAUCCCGAGCUUUGCUAUUGUAGUUGGAUCUUAUGAUGUUUCUACCCCUCUACUCUCUUGUGAUGAAUUGAGUUUUCCCCUUUGAAGUUAUCUUAUCGGAUUGAGUCUUUUAUGAGAACACUUGAUGUAUGUCUUGCCGUGCUUAUCUGUGGUGACAAUGGGAUAUCAUCUGCCUCUUGAUGUAUGUUUUGGUGACCAACUUGCGGGUUCCACCCAUUAACCUAUGCAUAGGGGUUAGCACACAUUCUUGACUCUCCGGUAGAAACUUCGGGGCACUCUUUGAAGUACUUUGUGUUGGUUGAAUAGAUGAAUCUGAGAUUGUGUGAUGCAUAUCGUAUAAUCAUGCCCACGGAUACUUGAGGUGACAAUGGAGUAUCUAGGUGACAUUAGGGUUUUGGUUGAUUUGUAUCUUAAGGUGUUAUUCUAGUACGAACCCUUUAAUAGAUCGAUCCGAAAGAAUAACUUUGAGGUGGUUUCGUACCCUACCAUAAUCUCUUCGUUCGUUCUCCGCUAUUAGUGUCUUUGGAGUGACUCUUUGUUGCAUGUUGAGGGCUUGCUAUAUGCUCUAUCUAUGUUAUUAUUGUUGAGAGAACUUGCACUAGUGAAAGUAUGAACCCUAGGCCUUGUUUCCUAUCAUUACAAUACCGUUUGUGCUCACUUUUACCACUUGUUACCUUGCUGUUUUUAUUAUUUCAGAUUACAAAAACCUAUAUCUACCAUCUAUUUUGCACUUGUAUCAACCUCUCUUCGCUGAACUAGUGCACCUAUACAAUCUACCAUUAUAUUGGCUGUGUUGGGGACACAAGAGACUCUUUGUUAUUUGGUUGCAGGGUUGUUUGAGAGAGACCAUCUUCAUCCUACGCCUCCUACGGAUUUAUAAACCUUAGGUCAUCCACUUGAGGGAAAUUUUCCACUUUCCUACAAACAUGUGAACUUGCAGGCCCAACAACGUCUACAAGAAGAAGGUUGUGUAGUAGACAUCAAGGUGACAUUAGGGUUUUGGUUGAUUUGUGUCUUAAGGUGUUAUUCUAGUAUGAACUCUAUGAUAGACUGAGCAGAAAGAAUAGCUUCAUGUUAUUUUACUACGAACUCUUGAAUGGAUAGAACAGAAAGGAUAACUUUGAGGUGGUUUCGUACCCUACCAUAAUCUCUUCGUUUGUUCUCCACUAUUAGUGUCUUUGGAGUGACUCUUUGUUGCAUGUUGAGGGCUUGCUAUAUGCUCUAUCUAUGUUAUUAUUGUUGAGAGAACUUGCACUAGUGAAAGUAUGAACCCUAGGCCUUGUUUCCUAUCAUUGCAAUACCGUUUGUGCUCACUUUUACCACUUGUUACCUUGCUGUUUUUAUAAUUUCAGAUUACAUAUACCUUUAUGUACCAUCCAUAUUGCACUUGUAUCACCAUCUCUUCACCGAACUAGUGCACCUAUACAAUUUGCCAUUAUAUUGGGUGUGUUGGGGACACAAGAGACUCUUUGUUAUUUGGUUCCAGGGUUGUUUGAGAGUGUAAGUGCAUCUAGUGCCACCCCUAGUUGGUUUUGGAGUAUUGACGACAAAGUUGGUUGAGGGACUAAUGCGUUUGUGAGAAUUGCAGGAUAACGCAGGUAGUGUCCCUCAUUGAUUCGGUUUACCUACCGGAGAUGACCCCUAAAAAUGUAUGAAGACAUUGAAGACAAUGAUGGUGUGUGAAGAUAUUCACACUGAAGUCUAUGACAUGAGAAGACAUUGAGUGAAGACUAUGGAGCACCAAGACUGAGUUGUUUCGCUGUUUUCUUUUCUUCUUUGUUGAGUCAUAGGAACCAGCGUACUGUUAAGUGGGGUCCAAGUGAACUAAGUCAGAGUGACUGCAGUGAUGCUCAACCCAAAUCCUAUGUCUUCGUGCGAAGACAAUGAGAGCAAAUCUUAUCCAGAGCUGGAUGAGUCAGCUUUGCUAGUAGCCCAAGUAAAGUUGUCGUGUGUGCUUGAAAUCUGACCGUUGGAACACAUGUCAGUUACUUAGUGACCCAGGGUCAUUUCGGACAUAUCAGGUCGGGUUGCCUUGUGGCUAUAAAUAGCCCACCCCCUACACCAUAAAUUGGUGGCUGCUCAGAGUUAGUUUACGGCUUUUGUCGUUUUGAGAGCAACCCACCUCGAAGCCUUUGAGAGAGAAAUCCUUGCGAGGACAAAGCCCAAACACCUAGAGCCAAAGAGUGUUAGGCGUCACUGAAGUCUUUCUGUCUGUGUGACCUGAAGACUUAUUACACUUGAGGACUGUGUAUCCUCCAGCCGGUUAGGCGUCGCGUUCUGAGCAUCCAAGAGUCAUUGUGGAUUGCCGGGUGAACGAAGUCUGUGAAGGUUUGGAAGUCUACCUUGAAGACUUACCAGAGUGAUUGGGCGAGGACUAAGUGUCCUUAGCUCAAGGGGAAUAAGGUGAAGACACGGUCUUCUGAGUUGAAUCUCAGCCUCCCUAACCAGACGUAUAGUUGUCACAGCAACUGGAACUGGUCCAACAAAUCAUGUGUCUUCAACAAGUGACUUGUUCUAUCUCUUCCCUCCUUUACUUUGAGUUUGUCUUUGUGAAGUCAUUGCUUAUCUGUCUUAUCUGAUUGACUUCAUUGCUUGACUACUAUUGUUGAUCGCCUUCAUACUAUCUUCCAUCAUGAUCCUACUACCUAGCUGCUAUUAGUCUUCGUAUGUUAACACUAUUGCAUACUUGACUAUGGCUUGCUUGUUGUAGUUUAUCUUCCGCUGCAUAUCAAUUAGGUCAUUUUUAUUGUUUGUCUUUGAAACUUCCAUGUUUUGAAGACUUUGAUAAAAAUCGCCUAUUCACCCCCCCUCUAGUCGAUAACUAGCACUUUCAAUUGGUAUCAGAGUGAGGUACUCCCUUGUUCUGUGUGAUUCGGUUUAACCACCUGGAGUUUAGGUAUGUCGACUGCAGGGAUAAUCAAAGUCUCCGCUGCUUGCCCCGUGUUCGAUGGAACAGAAUAUGCCUACUGGAAGAAUAAGAUGCGCAUGCAUCUUGAAGCCAUUGAUGUCGACCUCUGGUAUGUCGUCAAGAAUGAUGUUCCAAAGACCGGUGAAGGUGUCACCCCUGCUGAUGUCAAGAAGUUCAUUCAACUGGACUCGACUGCAAAGAACAUCAUCUGUGGUCAUCUGACCAAAGGACAGUAUGGCCGCGUGAGUGCUCUGGAAACGUCAAAGCUAGUCUGGGACUGGCUAUCCAAGGUCAACGAAGGACCCAGAGAGACCAGAGAAUCAGUGUUAUUCGCAAUCUCUUCAACCGCUUUAAGAGAAAUGACAAUGAAAAUGUCCAGCUCACGUUUGAUCGCCUCACCGACAUCACAAAUGAGCUUCAGGCUCUCGGCGCCAUAGAGAUCACCAAGCAUGAAAUCGUCAAGACGCUACUGAGAUCUCUUGACAGCUCCUUUGACACCCUUGCCCUCAUGAUACAAGAACGUCCUGACUUCAAGACUCUCGAUCCGUCUGACAUACUUGAGAGGCUCAACACCCAUGAGUUCAGCUUUCUGAGAAAAGAGAUAUCUAUGGCCCCAACUAUGGCCGAACUCGUGCCUUGAAGGCAAAAGUUGUUUCCUCAUCUGAAGAAGAAGAAUCUGACUGCGGUUCUGAUGAUCCUAAAGACAUUGGAAGGGAACUUGCUAUGCUUGUGAAGAAGUUCCAGAAAUUCACCAAGAAGAAGGGCUUCAGAAAGUCUUCACGAUCCAGUUCAAGAAAUGAUGAAGCUUCCACUCAAGACAACAAGAAGAGAACCUGUCACAAGUGUAAGAAGCCUGGGCACUACAUCGCUGAAUGUCCUCAGUGGGACAACGAGCAGAAGAAGAAGAAGAGCAAGGAAUAUGACUCCAAUGACAAGAAGAAGAAGAAAUCUUCAAAGUCCUCUUCCAAGUCCUAAACAAAGUCUUCAUCUCACAAGAAGAGCUCAUCUGGCAAAGCUCGUCCUUUUGUUGGCAAGGAAAUGGAUUCAGAGGAGGAGUCUGCUUCUGAGGAGGCGGAGGUGGAAUCUGAAGCUGAGUCCGACUCUGGCGUUGCAAGUCUGGCUCUAGCCACAGCCUACGUUGCCAAGUCCAUCUUCAACACUGAAGACAAUGACCCCCACACUAAUGCUAAUGAUGACAAGGACGAUCCUGCUCCCACCUACUGCUUCAUGGCACGCGGUGCCAACGUAAAAUCACGCGAUGCUUACUUUCAAACAUCAAGUGAAGAUGACUCUGAUUGUUAAUCUAAACCCAGCUACAAAACACUUGCUAAAAUUUCUACUGAACAACAAAGGGCUAUGGAACAUACUCAAAAAUUGUUAGACAAAAGCGAUGACCUGUUGGACGUGGAAAUGACACGUUCACAGUCCUUAGUUGAAGACAUAAAAAAUCUUCAUGCUAAGUAUCAAGAACUUGAAAGUCUUCAUGAGACGCUCUCAACCACUUAUGAAAAGCUCUCCUAUGAUUAUCUUCAAAGGAAGCAAGAUCGUGAGAAAUUGAAAGCGACUCAUGAAGAUCUUCAAAAAGAGAAUGAGUCAUUUCGCGCUCAACAGAUCAGUUCCGCUCAGGAAGGAUUUGAACCACCAUGUUUAAAAUGCAUUGAGCGUGAUAACACUACCUCUGUUGCUGAAUGUUCCACUGCUGCUACUGUUGCUCUGUCUUCAACUACUGAUGUGGUAACUAACCCCUCUGCGGAGGAUACCACUACUAUUGCUGAUGAAAAUGCUAGGUUGAAGACAAUGCUUGAAACAUGAAUGUAUAAAAGUCUGAAAGGGCACCAGACACUUUGCGAUGUCCUCAAAAAGCAGAUUUUGAACCGAAACCCUAGGAAAGAGGGUGUUGGGUUCGAGAGGAAAAUGAAUGUUGAUGGUUCCUACUGGAAGCCUGAGCAGUAUCCCAAAACCACAUGGGUUGUUGCAAAAGAACCUUCAGUGGAUCCAUCCACCCUAUCUGGAUUUACCUGUGCUAAUCCUAUUAUCAUUGAUGAAUCAUUUGAUGCAAACUAUAAACUGUUCGAAAAUCAGAAUGGUGAAGUGUUUGCCAGGUAUAUUGGUACUAACUGCAGGAAUGGACCGCCAAUGAAGAAGAUCUGGGUUCCCAAAAGCUGUCUUGAGAAUCUUCCGGUGAAUGUUGUCAUGACACCACCUGUGAAGAAGACAAACCCCACACCAAAGGCGUCACAUGGUCCAACGGCUUCAUACGGAAACAUGACUCACCAGAGUCACCCUAACGCCAAUGUUUUGCAGGGAAAUCAUACUCAAACUUAUGAAUAUGAGCGUGUGUCUUCAAACCGCUAUGUUCAUAGUACUAAGAACUUUUCUGCUUAUUCAUAUGAGUACCAUUCAUCUCCUGCAAGGCUAUUUGCUAGGGCUCCAAAGCCAAAAUUCUCAGAUGCUGCACUUAGACUCAUUGCUUCUAAGCCACCCCUGAAGAUGUGGGUGGUGAAGAAAAACUAACUCUCUUUUGCAGAACAUGGUCUCCAGCCAGCAAUCAAAGGCGUCCGAUACUAUUGCUGGGGACCUAAAACACAAAGGGACGCAUGAUAAAAUGACUUACUAUGAGCUUUAAUCUUAUGCUAAAACUGUGAUAAUCCAUGUGUGCAUCAAAUGCUUAUGCUUCACAACAUACCUUGUGAAGCCUAUCCUCCUAACUGCACAGUAGGGUAUGACACCUCGUGCUUUAGAAUGGAUUAUGGACAGCGGAUGCACUAAUCAUAUGACUGGUGAUCGAAGUCUUCUCAUGGACUCAACCUUACGUCCAUCCGACAAGAGUCAAAUCACAUUUGCUGACACUGGUAAAGGCAAGGUAUUGGGUCUAGGUAGAGUUGCAAUCUCAAAGGAUCAACACAUGGAUAAAGUGAUGCUUGUUGAAUCCCUUGGAUUCAACUUAAUGUCUGUCUCGAUGCUUUGUGACUUAAACAUGAUUGUGAUAUUCGGAAAAUAUCGUUGCCUUGUACUAAUGGAAUCUGACAAGUCUCUAGUCUUUGAAGGGUAUAGGAAAGGUGAUCUAUACAUGGUAGAUUUCUCAGCAGGUCCACAACUUGUCGUAUGUCUUCUUGCAAAAGCUUCAGAAUGCUGGCUCUGGCAUCGAAGGUUGGGACAUGCUGGCAUGAGGAACUUACACACUCUCGUCAAAAAGAAGCAUGUCAUAGGCAUCGAAGGUGUCAAGUUCAAGAAAGAUCAUCUGUGUGGUGCCUGUGAAGCUGGAAAGAUGACUAGGGCCAAGCAUCCCUCAAAGACAAUCAUGACGACAUCUCAACCCUUUGAACUGUUGCACAUGGACUUAUUUGGCCCUACUCACUACUCUACCCUCACAACAACAGCGUGUCUCUAUGGCUUCGUUAUUGUUGAUGACUACUCAAGAUAUACAUGGGUGCACAUAAUUCUCUACAAGACUGAAUUACAAGAUGUCUUCAGACGAUUCGCCAAUCGAGCAAUGAACAAUUAUGGCGUCAAGAUCAAGCAUAUCAGAAGUGAUAACGGCACUGAAUUCAAGAACACCGGCCUUGAUCUUUAUCUGGAUACAAUGGGAAUCACUCAUGAAUUUUCUGCUCCAUACACACCUCAGCAAAAUGGCAUUGUUGAGCGCAAGAACAGAACCCUCAUUGAGAUGGAUCGAACAAUGCUCGACGAGUACAAGACACCAAGAAAAUUCUAGCCUGAAGCCAUUGAUAAAGCUUGUCACAUUAUCAACUGUGUCUACAUCCAUAAGCUUCUGGGUAAAACAUCCUAUGAGCUCCUUACUGACAAGAAGCCAAAUGUCAUCUACUUCAGAGUCUUUGGUGCUAGGUGCUGGAUCAAGGAUCCCCAUCACAAGUCAAAAUUUGAACCCAAAGCUCACGAAGGCUUCAUGCUUGGCUAUGGAAAGGAUUUGCACUCUUACAGAGUCUUCAACCUCUUCCACUAUAAAAUUGUUGAAACUAUGGACGUGCGAUUUGAUGAAACAAAUGGUUCACAACGAGAACUCCUGCCAAGCACACUAGAUGAAGCUCCUUCCAGUGAAUCUAUCAAGCUGAUGGGAACUGGUGAAAUCAUGCCCUCUGAAGCACAGCCUGAAGAGGAACUUAUCAUUUCUGCACCAAACCAACCUGAAGAUAAUGCUCAGACCGAAGGCAAUCCUUCCAAUGAUGACAAUGAUCAGCAUGAGCAAGGUCUUCGUCCAGUUCAUCCUCGUGUUGCAAAUGAAGUACAAAUUGAGAAGAUAAUUGAUAGCAUCAACGCUCCUGGUCCACUUACUCGCUCAAGGGCAACACAGCUAGCAAAUUUCUGUGGGCAUUUUUCAUUUGUAUCAAUAUUUGAACCCAAGAAAGUUGCUGAAGCCUUUAUGGAACCUGAAUGGAUUCAAGCCAUGCAAGAAGAACUUCAACAGUUCAAGCUGAAUAAUGUUUGGGAACUUGUCAAGCGCCCUGACCCUCGCAAGCAUAACAUUAUUGGCACAAAAUGGAUAUAUCGGAACAAACAAGAUGAGCAUGGUCAAGUCAUCAGAUACAAAGCACGUCUUGUGGCACAAGGAUAUACUCAAGUUGAAGGAAUUGACUUCGAUGAAACAUUUGCUCCUGUGGCUAGGCUUGAAGCUAUUUGCAUACUGCUAGCCUAUGCAAAUCACCACAACAUCCUGCUAUACCAAAUGGAUGUGAAAAGUUCUUUCCUCAAUGGCAAGAUUGAAGAAGAAGUGUAUGUUGCUCAACCACCUGGCUUUGAAGAUCCUAAACAUCCUGAUAUGGUGUACAAACUCAACAAAGCAAUGUAUGGCCUCAAACAAGCUCCUCGCGCUUGGUAUGAUACAAUCAAAGACUUCCUGAAGGGCAAGGGCUUCAAACCUGGAUCCCUCGAUCCCACACUCUUCACGAAGACAUAUGAUGGUGAACUAUUUGUAUGCCAAAUAUAUGUGGAUGACAUAAUCUUCGGCUGCACCAAUCAGAAGUAUAGUGAUGAGUUUGGAUACAUGAUGCAAGAGCAAUAUCUGAUGUCGAUGAUGGGUGAGCUGAAGUUCUUCCUUGGUCUUCAAAUUCGUCAGCAAAGAAAUGGCAUCUUCAUAUCUCAAGAAAAAUAUCUCAAAGAUUGUCUGAAGAAGUUCGGCAUGCAAGAUUGCAAAGGUUACACGACGCCAAUGCCAGCCAAACAUCAUCUUGGUCCCAACGACAAUGGUAAAGAGUUCGAUCAAAAGGUAUACCACUCCAUGAUUGGUUCUUUACUUUACCUAUGUGCAUCUAGGCCAGAUAUUAUGCUUAGUGUUUGCAUGUGUGCUCGAUUCCAAGCGGCACCAAAGGAAUCGCAUCACUUAGCUAUGAAGCGAAUUCUUAGAUAUUUGGCUUACACCCCAACACUCGGAUUAUGGUAUCCAAAGGGCUCAAGGUUUGAUCUGGUUGGAUUCUCGGAUGCCGAUUAUGCUGGUGACAAGGUGGAUCGCAAGUCAACAUCAGGAACAUGUCACUUUCUGGGACGAUCACUUGUCUGUUGGUCUUCAAAGAAGCAGAACUGUGUAUCACUCUCAACUGCUGAAUCUGAAUACUUUGCUGCUGGAUCUUGUUGUGCUCAGCUUCUGUGGAUGAAGCGAACUCUCAAGGAUUAUGGCAUCGAUCUGAAGCAAGUCCCUCUCUUCUGCGACAACGAAAGCGCCAUCAAGAUUGCCAACAAUCCAGUUCAGCACUCGAAGACAAAGCACAUUGAAAUUCGUCAUCAUUUUCUCAGAGAUCAUGUCAUGAAGAAAGAUAUCGACAUCAUUCACGUCAACACUGAAGAACAACUGGCAGAUAUCUUCACAAAGCCCUUGGAUGAGAAAAGGUUUUGCAAGUUAUGGUGUGAGCUAAAUAUCUUGGAAUCCUCCAAUGUCCUGUGAUCAGGCACACAUCCUAACACUUAUGCAUAAUGAUGACUUAGAUGUACAACACACGAAGUAAAGUAUAUCUUCAAUCAAUGAAGACUUACAUUCUGAGUGUGAAUACAUUAACGUGGAAUUUGACUUCGGAGCACCACGAUAAUUGUGCGCCGUGUCUGGGUCUAAUACUUCCUAUACGGUGGGUAACGCCACCACCAAAUUUCUUGGUUUGAAGUGUUUCACUCAUGGCGUUAUUUUUGAACAUCUUCGCAUAUUGAUUUGUCUUCAACUUUCAACUUAUUUUCAUGAUUUACUUCACUAUGUUGAGUUGAUUGCUUUCUCAUAUAGAUAUGUAUACUAGUAUUCUGUCCUCUACAGCAUUCACUUAUAGCUAUGUCUUUAUUGUUGAAUCUUUUGAACUAGGUGAAUGUGAUCGGACCCUAAUCUCUCUAUGCUUACUAUCUCAAACUCUAUCUGUCCAAAUCAUAUGCAUUCUAUUGAAACUGUCGAAUGUCUUCUCUGCAUCCUUGUCAGCAGAAGACACAAAGACAAACAUCAAGUCCUAUUUAAGUGAUUCAUCUUUAUUGUCGAUAUCCGGAGAAGCCGGAACGACCAUCCGACAAACUUGGCGGGCGUGGGAACGUGGGACAACUCUGAGUAUGUUGCAUGCUUGCCACGUGUCUCACGGAUGUGAACAGACAGGGGCACCUGCGUAAUUGCGCUGUGCCGCACACCUACUUAUAAAUACGUGUCCCCUGCGGUCAAGAAAACCUUCUUCCACCUCUCCACCUCGUCAAAACCCUAGCGCCACCGCUAGCUCUCGACGACGCCGGCGACGAAGCGCUUAGCUGCCGCGACUUCUCCGACGCCGUCCUCACGCCGGCCGCGGGCAUCGUCCUCUCCACCGCCGCCGUAGGUGUCCUCCGUCGCCAAGUUAGGGCACGGUGGAUUGAACUGCUCGGUCUCCUACUCAUCCCAUCUAGCAGUUCUUCGUGUGGUAAAUAUAACUCUAUUUUUACCAGCUUUUUGAUCCUCAAAGAUUCAUCCAAUUUACUAAAAUUGGUUUCUGUCUAUACAAAGUUAGAUCUACUCUGUCUGCAUCUCAUACUGCCUAGUAUAUUCACUUAAGCUUCACAUCUAGUUAGAUUCCUCACUUGUACUUAUUCACGGAUUCGUACAAAUCUGGAACCGACUCUCAACAUAUAAGUGAAUGUCUUUGCAACAUGAGGUCAAUGUCUUCAAACUGAUUUAUCUUCAAAAUCUUCUGAGAAUGCAUAUGACCUCUUCCCCUUCCCUCGCAUCUCUAAUGCUGUCACAGGUACAUGUCCGUGGGAGAAUCCCUAGGUUCUCAUAGUUUGCAUUCGUUUGUAGAAUUCUUACAGCUACACAUUGAUUCUCCUGAAGCCAGUUCCUGUCUGACCAGCAAGCGAAAGCCUUUGAAGCCUUUCAACAUAUUGAAACCGUUCAGUUUGAAGUUCAUGGCUGCAGAGAAAUCAGUAAGGAAGGGUGGCAGACAGCGUCGUGGGGGAACUUCAAAGGAUCUGCUUGAUGAUCUUGCAGAAAUAUAUAAAACAGAUCCUGAAGAAGAUUACAAUCAGCGCAAGACUCGAAUCCAAUGGAUUCGACGCUAUUGGGCUGAACAGUGGUACAAGUACAAGUUUGUGACCCAGGAGUACGCAGAGAAAAAUGCUAUCAAGAGCCCUUGGGGUGAUAUUCUCUAUCGAGGCCUUCCCCCCAAGAACAAAGCUGAAGCCAUCGCGCAAGAAUUCUAUCCUUGCAUGGUCCGUUGACCACAGCCUGAAGAAGCCGACCCAUCAUCAUUGCUCUGGUGUCGUGACGACAAUCUCUUCAAGCGCAACUUCUAGUUUGCUAAGGCUUCGGCAAAGUAAAACAAGAAGUCAUGGGGAUUAGACUUCAAUCCUGGCCCCUCUGCUCCCCGUGAUGAUGGCACACGUGAAGCUGAAGAGAAUAGAAUUGGCCCCUUUGCAAACCUUGAUGGCCUCAUCUCCUACAUCUUGGUACGAGGUGCCAAAGUGGAUCAUUCUGACAAUGAUGCUGAUUCUGAUGAAGCCCCAGCUCCUACUCCAAGGCCGCAGAAGCCAAAGAAGAUUAAGGCUUCAUCAUCAGCUGCACCUCCAAAAGCUUCUCGUGUGAAGCCACUGGCCACUGCACCUCCUGAAGUCAGUGUGCAGUCCGAAGAUCUUUCCCGCAUCUCCAAGAAGACGGAGAAGAAAAAGAAAAUCGUCAAGAGUACUCAUCAGGCUCUGACUCCUGCUGCUAUUCUGCGUGAAGAGCCCAUUGAUCUGUCCAGUGAUGACGAUCUUGCAGAUGAUGCUCUUUAGCAACUGAUAAAGAGCAAGGAAGAAGCUGAGAUCUUCAACAACUUGCCUCUCUUUGAUGUGGCCAUUCUCCAUAACUUCAUUGAUGAAUGGUUUGACACACCAAAUCUCAGCUCUGAUGAUUUGCAACUUCCAAUUGGCCUCAGCGUCGCCUUCAAUGGCGCCAUUGCUUCUGAGCUAGCUAUUGCCCAGCGCAUUGUCGAACUGAAGCACAAGAUUGACUAUGAAAAGGCUUAGUUCAAGAAGCAUGUGGCCAAUCUAAGUGUGCAAGAUGUCAAGAACUUCAAGAUCAUGCUUCACGAGCUCAAAGAGGCAUUUCACAAGAAGCGUGAAGAAGCUAAAGGCUCUCGUGAACGCAUGAAAAAUAUGGCUAACAAGUGUGUGCUUGCCUACAAUGAGGCUGAAAAGCGCAAGGCUAUUGGUCGUCCUGGCAUCGACCCCAAGAUGGCUGCAAAGAAGAAGAAAUCGACUGUCCAAUCUGCACCUUCAAGGCCAGAUGAACCUCGCAUUAUCUUCCCAAGCAGCAUGACUGGCUCGAAGCCAAAAGUCACGUCAACCGCUUCAGAACAGAAGAAGACGAGGGCUGCAGAGGCUGAAGCCAGAAAAAGGAAAACCUCCGAAGCCUCUGAUGCUGCUCCCUCCAAGAAGAAGCGUAAGACCAAGAAGAAUCGGGCUGCUCCCACAGAGCCCCUUGUUGUUGAACCCAUCUCAGUGGUUCGUCCUGCAUCCGCUACCCAAGAACUUCGCAUGACUGUUCAUGAGCCUGCUUCCACAGAGGUUCCUGAAGCUGAAGAGAUUCCAGCAGCCGAUCCCAUCACUGCUGAAGACAUUGGUCAUUAUGACAAUGUUGAAGAUGAUGAAGUUCUUCCUCAAAUCGAAUACAAUGUGGUAUCAUCGCCUGUUCGUACGAAUAGCGAACUCAUCAGCAUUGGUCAUCCUCUGAUGCCAAUUUCUCAGGAUGCUUCAUGGGCUGAUCGCCCGCAAGGACAAGAUUCCCCAAGUACUCCCCAACAACAACAAGUCACACCAUCCGUGCAAAUUGAAGAGGAUGAGGACCUGCCCACUCCAUCUCCAAAGGCGUCGCCUGUACUGCAAAGGCUUCGCAAAGGACCAAGGCCUCAAGCCCCUCUUCCGAGCGUUCCAGAAGGAGAAGUGCACCAUCAACCUGUUGCACGUCAAGUGUUCUCAGAAGCCACUCAAACUAUGAAUGUCUCCAAGUCUGAAGCACCAGCUACUGAAGACAAUCCGGCUGCAACAGCCGAUGAAGAACGUCAAGAAGAACGUGUCCCUACUCCCCCAUUCCAGAAGAAGAAGUUCAUGAAGUGAACGUGUCUGUGCCUGACCCUCCAGCUCAGCAAGUGGAGAUUGAAAACCUUGAGGCUGCCACCACCAACACCAAUGAAGCUAAUGACAUCGUCAUGGCUGAAGCCAAUGUGGAGCCUGUCCCAAGCACCGUACCAGAAGUCAAUGCUGACAAUGCUCCUGAAGCUUCUAUUGUGCAGCCCGAAGCGACUGUUGCUGCCGCUGCUCCUGUUCCGCCACCAAGGCCCUAUACAAUCGAGCAAGCAUACAACCAUGGCGAGCUAAUCAUAGUAAGAUGGCCCGUUCUGGUCCCUCCGCCUAAUGUCUCUGGUCCUCAAUUUGACUAUCACAUUGAGCAUAGGCCUCAGGUCCAGAAGCCAAAGCCAAGACUGCCAAGGUUUCCAGGCACUGCCACAUCUGUCGGAUCUUUCAAUGCAAAUGGCUUCAAGAGCCACAACACAUUCUUUGACAGCUCAAAGAACCCCUACACAAGGCCAAGAAUUUCAUCAGAUCGGUUCUGGAGUCAUCAGCAGCGAAGCUAUUACUCCUGUGUUAUGUAUGAUCAAGGGCGCAUUUUCCCUCAUAUGCGCCUCGACACUGAAGCCAUUACUAGACUGCCCUGCUUAGAAGAAGCACUUGACUGCUUUCAUGAUGCUGGACUGCUCAGUUUAGUCAUAGAUAAAGAACAUUGGAAUGAAGAGCUAUUGCUUCAAUUCUAUGCUACACUCCACAUUCGCGGUUAUAACCGAGAUACGAAGACAUGGGUUCUCGAAUGGAUGACAGGAAAUGUUCAUCAUGAAGCCAAAGCUCUCGACAUCAUUGAGCUUACAGGCCUAUCCACUCCCGGAGAACUCUAUGAACCUGGUUGUCAAAAUCACUGCAAUGCUCUGGAAAGCAUUUUCCAUAAGCCUGAACCCAAUAUGAUUCGGAUGUUGAGCAUGAUGAAGCCUUUGCCACAUGAUGCAGAAUAUCCAAAGGAGUUCCUUAUUGAUGACCUUGAGUAUCUGUCGCGCACAAUAUAUCACAUCGUCAGACGGACUCUAUGGCCUAUCAAAGGACAUUCAUCAGCUGCAAAACUUGAAGGAGCCAUGAAGACAUUGGUCUUUUACAUUCUCAAUGGCAUCAGCUUCAACGCACAAGAUUUCUUCAUCAGGCAACUGCCUGCAUCUGGAUCUGACCUCUUCGGACUGAAAUUCUAUGCUCCAUGGGUCAUGCGCCUCAUCAAGCGACACUCUGCUGCCAACUAUCAACCUUCUACUCGCAAUCAUGUGAUUUUUCUACCAGAGGUUGAUAUGUCAGUUGAAGCUAUAUACCCUGAACCGGCCAAGAAGCCUCUUUGUCUUCAGAAUGCUGAACAUCAAAGCUUCAGUCAGCCUAUGGAAGGAGUCCAAGCUGUUACGCGUGUCUAUCCGAUGGCUGGAAAUCUUCGUCUACCUCAUCGCGCAUCAACUGAAGCCACUGCGAGCACAAUUUCUCAAAGGCCUCGGAAGCGCUCUCGAGUCCUCAAUGACCGAGAGCUUCUUGUGGCCCUGCAUCAAAAGCAAGAUAAACAUCAUUUUUGGCUCAAGCGUCAGAUGCAAAGCCUCUUGGUGGAUGUAAAUCGCAUUCGCAACCUUGCCACCAAGAAUGCUUUUGUCGCUCAUGAAACUUGUCGGCGAUCAUGGAAGAGUUUGACCCUGCUAGUGCUGAAGCGGAUCUUCAAGACGACGGCUUCACUGAAAGAUUCAAGUUUGACUCCACUCCUCCACGAAAUGUUGUCCUACUAAGAACUCCAUCUCUUGAAGACUCUGACUAUUCUUCCUCCGCGGCAACUGUUAAUGCCAAUGUGAUCGAUGAUGAAGACGAUGCAACUUCACCGCCUCCUACCUCUGCACACAUCGACACUGCACCAAGUUCGUUUGCACCGCCAACCAACAAUGACAACCCUGCUGUUUCCCCUACUCAUCAAGAGGACAAGUAGAUGCUCUAUGUCCUCAAACCUUUUUGGUCAUUACUGACAAAAGGGGGAGAAGCGUAUGAGUUGAUAGUCUUCAAGCGGGUUCAUAUGGGCGGUUGCUUUAUAUUUGCCUAGUGCUUACAACUCUUGCUUUUGAUACACUUCGUUCUUUGAGUUGUAACACUUAAACAAGCGUAUGAGUUGAUAGUCUUCAAGCGGGUUCAUAUGGGCGGUUGCUUUAUAUUUGCCUAGUGCUUACAACUCUUGCUUUUGAUACACUUCGUUCUUUGAGUUGUAACACUUAAACCUGAUGGUCGUCUACUACUUAUUUGCGUUUCCACGUGCGAUGAUAACUCCCGCACUUAGAUCAUUCUGCAGACGUCCAUUUCUCAUUAUGCAUGUCAUUUUCUUAGCCAUAUCAUUUCAUGCAUGAUGAAUUAUCUUCAUAAGUUGAAGAGGAUCUCCACAAGUACAACCUGCCAUGUGCAUUUGCAUUCCAAAAGCAAAUAUUUAUAUGCACAUCUUCAGGGGGAGCCCUUGCCACUUAUGAAGACAAUAAGCUAUCCUUUACAAUUUCACAUACUUCUUUCCCGUCGAAAACUUCAACCAGUUGUCAUCAAUCACCAAAAAGGGGGAGAUUGUAAGUGCAUCUAGUGCCACCCCUAGUUGGUUUUGGAGUAUUGACGACAAAGUUGGUUGAGGGACCAAUGUGUUUGUGAGAAUUGCAGGAUAACGCAAUUAGUGUCCCUCAUUGAUUCGGUUUACCUACCGGAGAUGACCCCUAAAAAUGUAUGAAGACAUUGAAGACAAUGGUGGUGUGUGAAGAUAUUAACACUGAAGUCUAUGACAUGAGAAGACAUUGAGUGAAGACUAUGGAGCACCAAGACUGAGUUGUUUCGCUGUUUCCUUUUCUUAUUUGUUGAGUCAUAGGAACCACCGUACUGUUAAGUGGGGUCCAAGUGAACUAAGUCAGAGUGACUGCAGUGAUGCUCAACCCAAAUCCUAUGUCUUCGUGCGAAGACAAUGAGAGCAAAUCUUAUCCAGAGCUGGAUGAGUUAGCUUUGCUUGUAGCCCAAGUAAAGUUGCCGUGUGUGUUUGAAAUCUGACCGUUGGAACACGUGUCAGUUCCUUAGUGACCCAGGGUCAUUUCGGACAUAUCAGGUCGGGUUGCCUUGUGGCUAUGAAUAGCCCACCCCCUACACCAUAAAUUGGUGGCUGCUCAGAGUUAGUUUACGGCUUUUGUCGUUUUGAGAGCAACCCACCUCGAAGCCUUUGAGAGAGAAAUCCUUGCGAGGACAAAGCCCAAACACCCAGAGCCAAAGAGUGUUAGGCAUCACUGAAGUCUUUCUGUCUGUGUGACCUGAAGACUUAUUACACUUGAGGACUGUGUAUCCUCCAACCGGUUAGGCGUCGCGUUCUGAGCAUCCAAGAUUCAUUGUGGAUUGCCGGGUGAACAAAGUCUGUGAAGGUUCGGAAGUCUACCUUGAAGUCUUACCAGAGUGAUUGGGCGAGGACUAAGUGUCCUUAGCUCAAGGGGAAUAAGGUGAAGACACGGUCUUCUGAGUUGAAUCUCAGCCUCCCUAACCAGACGUACAGUUGUCACAGCAACUGGAACUGGUCCAACAAAUCCCGUGUCUUCAACAAGUGACUGGUUCUAUCUCUUCCCUCCUUUACUUUGAGUUUGUCUUCGUGAAGUCAUUGCUUAUCUGUCUUAUCUAAUUGACUUCAUUGCUUGAUUACUAUUGUUGAUCGGCUUCAUACUAUCUACCUAGCUGCUAUUAGUCUUCGUAUGUUAACACUAUUGCAUACUUGACUAUGGCUUGCUUGUUGUAGUUUAUCUUCCGCUGCAUAUCAAUUAGGUCAUUUCUAUUGUUUGUCUUCGAAACUUCCACGUUUUGAAGACUUUGAUAAAAAUCGCCUAUUCACCCCCCCUCUAGUCGAUAACUAGCACUUUCAGAGAGAGACCAUCUUCAUCCUACGCCUCCUAUGGAUUGAUAAACCUUAGGUCAUCCACUUGUGGGAAAUUUGCUACUGUCCUACAAACCUGUGCACUUGCAGGCCCAACAACAUCUAGAAGAAGAAGGUUGUGUAGUAGACAUCAAGCUCUUUUCUGGCGCCGUUGCCGGGGAGGUGAGUGUUUGAAGGUAUAUCUUUAGAUCUUGCAAUCGAAUCUUUUUGUUUCUUGUUUUAUCACUAGUUUAGUCUAUAAAAGAAAACUACAAAAAAAUGGAAUUGAGUUUGUCUCAUACACUUCAUCUUUUUAAUAUCUUUCGUAAGAAUGAUGGUAAGGAAAAUUGUGCUCAAGUGCUAGAAGAAGAAAUCUAUAAAAUGUUUUGCACUAAAUCUUUGAAUGAUGAGCAUGAAUGCAAUGUUAUUAGUAUGAACUCUUUGAAUAUCCAUAGUACUAAUGAUGAUUGCUCUAGUCAUGAUGAAAAUAUCUCCUAUAAGCAUCUCAAUUUUUGUGGAGUUGAUUGGGUUUGCAAGUAUGCACCAAAUAGGGAAAAUAGAUAUUGCAAGAGGCAUAAGCAUUUAGAAAUUAAAUUGUUGCAAGAAAGCCUUGAUGUUUGUGCUGAAAAAUUCAAUAUUUUUCGCGCUCCUUGUGAACUUUGCAACGAACAUGGUCAUUUAAAUCUCCAAUGCAAAUUGUUUCAUGAUCAAAUCGUGUCAAAAAAUUGUGAUAACUGAGGGUAUUCCAAAAUUUAAUCUUGAUAGAGUUCUUGAUUUUGACCUAGAGAAGAUUUACAUGUAUUGUGCGGUGAAUUGCAUUGAAAAUCCUUAUAUUGCCAAUUACCUAAAGAAAAGAAAACAAAUAGAAGAUGAAGAGAAUACUAAUGAAAGGGAAUAGACUUCCCAAUAUCCUCCUAUUAUUUCUUAUGAUGAAUCAGGUAUCGAGGAGGAGCCUUCUAUUCAACCAAUCUCAUCAAUAAGGAGCUCAAAGAAACGGGUUGAACCCACACAUAAUGUGAAGAAGAAAAGGAAGAGAAGAAGCAGCAAAGGUAAAAAGGCAUCCCUCUCAAAUGAUGUUGCUCCUAUUACUCAUUGUGAUGAUGAUAAUUGUUAUACUAUUGGUGCUAUCCAUACUAUUAAUGAUGAGAGUGAUUAUGCUUAUGAUAUGAAAAGGCCCAAGCUUGGGGAAGCUAUGUUUGAUGAGUAUGAAAUAUUUGAGAAUAUAUUUGCUGAAAGUAAUGUUUGUCCCAAGCUUCGGGAUGCCAUGUUUAAUGAAGAUGAUAUUUUUAGCAUCCCAAUCUUUUGAUAUGCAAAGUUUUUAUGAUGAUAGCAUGCCUCUUACCUAUGAUGAUUAUAUUGAUGAAAGUGGGUUUGGAAGAGUGUCAACUUUAGGAAGUAAUGAUCCCACUAUUUUGGAGGAUGUUGAAUCUUAUUGUGAUGAAUAUGAAAGUGGAUUUGGAAGAGUGUCAACUUUAUUUAGUGAUGAUUCCACUAUCUUGGAAGAGGUUUCAAUCGAUUAUGAUGAGAACAAAGUUGCUACUUAUGAUGAUUAUUGUGCUGAAACUUAUGCUAUAAAAAGUAGUGAUGAUUAUGUUUAUAAAACUUGUCAUGAUUAUGAUUACCCUUUUUCUGAACAUUACUCUUUUAAUGUGAAAACAAUUUAUAGUAUUCAAGUCUCUUAUGACACUCCCGCUAUUCCGCAUGAGAAGAAAUUUGCUUAUGUGAAGAGUAGUAAUUUUUCUAUGCAAGUAGAUCAUGAAAAUAAUGUUUUAGCUUCUGGUUAUAUUGUUGAAUUCAUUCAUGAUGCUACUAAAAACUAUUAUGAGGGAGGAGCAUAUGCUUGUAGGAAUUGCAAUAAUGUCAAGUUUCCUCUCUAUGUGCUUAAAGUUUAGAAGUUAUGUUUGUUUUGCCUUCCUAUGCUAGUUGAUUAUUGUUCCCAUAAGUUGUUUGCUCACAAAAUCCCUAUGCAUAGGAAGUGGGUUAUACUUAAAUGUGCUAGUCAUAUUCUUCAUGAUGCUCUCUUUGUGUUUCCAUUCUUAUCCCUCAUGUGAGCAUCAUUGCCUUCAUCAUGCCUAGCUAAAAAGGCAUUAAAGAAAAGCGCUUGUUGGGAGACAACCCAAUAUUUACCCUUACUGUUUUUGUGUGUCCACAUGAUUAUGCUACUGUAUUAAUCAUUUUUUAUAGCUUUUGUUUCAAUAAAGUGCCAAGUAGAGCCUUUGGGAAGACUUGGGUGAAGUCUUUAUGAUCUUGCUGUGAAAAACAGAAACUUUAGCGCUCACGAGAUUAGCAGCCAUUCUUUAUUGGAGAGUGCUUUUAGGUUGAUUAUUUUUGCAGAUGAUUAAUAGACAAAGUCCUCAGGUCCACCAAUUUAUUUCGUAAUUUUUGGGGUUCCAUAAGUAUACGUUUGAUAGAUUACUACAGACUGUUCUGUUUUUGACAGAUUCUGUUCUCAUUGUGUUGUUUGCUUAUUUUGAUGAAUCUAUGGCUAGUAUGUAAGGGUAUGAACCAUAGAAAAGUUGAAAUAUAGUAGAUAUUAUACCAAUAUGAAUUUAGAAUGAGUUCAUUACAGUACCUUAAAGUGAUGAUUUAUUUUCUUACACUAACGGAGCUUACGAGUUUUGUUUUGAGUUUUGUGUGGUUGAAGUUUUCAAGUUUUGGGUAAAGAUUCGAUGGACUAUGGAAUAAGGAGUGGCAAGAGCCUAAUCUUGGGGAUUCCCAAGGCACCCCAAGGUAAUAUUCAUGGACAACCAAGCAACUAAGCUUGGGGAUGUCCCGGAAGGCAUCCCCUCUUUCGUCUUCGUUCAUCGGUAACUUUACUUGGAGCUAUAUUUUUAUUCACCACAUGAUAUUUGUUUUGCUUGGAGCAUCAUUUUAUUUUGUUAGUAUUUGCUUGAUGUUGUUUAGAAUAAUGUUUUGCAUCUAUAUUUUCAAUAAAAAUGUCAAGGAUAGCCUUUACCAUGCUUAUUUUGCUAGUAUACAUGUUGCUGUUUGAAAACAGAAAUUUUACCGCUGUUGCAAAAAUUCCCUAGAAAAGUCAGAGAGUGAUAUAAUGUUGAAUCUUUUUGCAUAAUGUGCUCUGAUAAAUCUUAUAAAGUGUAGUAUUUUUAUCAUAAUUUGUGGAGUUAUGGAAGUAUGAUGAAUCUUGCAUUCUUUACAGACUAUACUGUUUUGGCAGAUUGCUGUUAUGUUUGCAUUGUUUGCAUAUGUUUGCUUGUUUAAUGAUUCUAUUUGAGGAUAGGAGUAUUAAAUAUGCAGAGCAUUUAGUAUGAAAUGUUGAAUAAUAAUGUUUGUGAUUUGUUACAGUAAAAAAUGAUAAGGUUUUGCAUUGGUUUAUACUAACCUAUCUCACGAGUUCUUGUUGAGUUUGUUGUGGAUGAAGCUUUUGAUAAAAAGAAGAGAAACCAUGAUAUGAGAGGAAUUAAGGAGACAUAAAAGCUCAAGCUUGGGGAUUCCCAAGGCACCCCAAGAUAAUAUUUCAAGAAGUCUCAAGCAUCUAAGCUUGGAGGCAUCCCACAUUUCUUUUUCAACAACUAUCGGUUAGUAUCGGUUGAGCCUAAGUUUUUGCAAUGUCAUUUUAUUUUGUUUUGCUUGCUGUUUGAAUACAAUACCAAGAUCUGAAAUUAUUUAACUAGAGAGAGUCCUCACAUAGUUACAUAAUUAUUUAACUACUCAUUGUUCUUCACUUAUAUCUUUUUUUAGUAGCUUUUCAUUUACUCGUGUGCUUCACUUAUCCUAUGAGUAAAUGGUUGAGUGAUUUGAAUGUCAUAAAUCUGAAAUUAUAUAUGUUUUAUUUGCUUAUCCCAUUGGGAGUAAUGACUUCACAACUAAGAAGUAGAGGUUGUAAAUUUAUUGAAGGUUAGCAAGCAUUGUAUUGGUCAUUUGAACAAUUCAUGACAGAAUAUUGAAGGAAGAGAGAUUUCGCAUAUAAAUAUAUUAUCAUGGACAUCUUUUAUAAUUGUGAGCACUCAUUAAGUAUGACAUGCUAAAGAGUUGAUGUUGGACAAGGAAGACAACGUAAUGGGUUAUGUUUUCUCACAUCUCAGUUAAAGUAUAUUGUCAUGGAUCAUUCAAACAUGUUGAGCUUGCCUUUCCCCCUCAUGCUAGCCAAAUUCUUUGCACCAAGUAGAGAUACUACUUGUGCUUCCAAAUAUACUUAAACCCAGUUUUUGCCAUGAGAGUCCACCAUACCUACCUAUGGAUUGAGUAAGAUCCUUCAAGUAAGUUGUCAUCGGUGCAAGCAAUAAAAAAUUGCUCUCUAAAUAUGCAUGACUUAUUAGUGCGGAGAAAAUAAGCUUUGUACGAUCUUGUUAUGGAAGCAAUAAAAGUGACGGACUGGAUAAUAAAGGUCCAUAUACAAGUGGCAAUAUAAAGUGACGUUCUUUCGCAUUAAGAUUUUGUGUAUCCAACCAUAAAAGCGCAUGAAAACCUCUGCUUCCCUCUGCGAAGGGUCUAUCUUUUACUUUAUGUCUUUUACUUUAGGCAAGAGUCAAGGUGAUCUUCACCUUUCCCUUUUUCAUUUUAUCCUUUGGCAAGCACUUUGUGUUGGGGUGAUCCUGAUAUAUAUAUAUCCAAUUGGAUGUAAGUUAGCAUGAACUAUCAUUGUUGACAUCACCCAAAGGUGAAUACGUUUGGAGGCAACACUAUAAGCCCCUAUCUUUCUCCAUGUCUGAUUAAAACUCCAUAACCACAAGUAUUGCGUGAGUGUUAGCAAUUGUAGAAGACUAUAUGAUAGUUGAGUAUGUGAAGUUUGCUCAAUCAAAGAUCAGACAUAGAACCUUCCUGAAAAUAAGAUGAAUUGGAAUUGUUUGAUGACUGAGAAUGAAGUUUGCUAGUUUUCAAGAAAGUUUAUGGUUUAUGCUUUAAUAUGUGAAUAGUUUGUUACUUGAUUAUGAAAAGUUUUAUGAGAUGAAUUACUAUUAUGGCAUAUGAUCAUGCUAGAAAAGGUGAUUGAAAUUAUCAUUGAUCAAACUUGUGCACCUGCUAGCAUUCACACUUCAUAAAUUCUUUCUUUUAUCAUUUACCUACUCGAGGACGAGCAGGAAUUAAGCUUGGGGAUGUUGAUACGUCUCCAAUGUAUCUAUAAUUUAUGAAGCAUUCAUGCUAUUUUAUUAUCAGUUUUGAAUGAUUAUGGGCUUUAUUAUACACUUUUAUAUUACUUUUGGGACUAAUCUAUUAACCGGAGGCCCGACCCAUAUUGUUGUUUUAUUGCCUGUUUCAGUAUUUCGAAGAAAAGGAAUAUCAAACGGAGUCCAAACGGAAUGAAACCUUCGGCAGCGUGAUUUUUUUGGAAGAAUAUGAUCCUGGAGAUUUGGAGUUCACGUCAGAAGAUCCUCGAGGAGGCCAGGAGAUAGGAGGGCGCGCCCACCCCUCCUGGGCGCGCCCCUGUCUCCUGGGCCCCUCGAGCACCCCCCCCCCNNNNNNNNNNNNNNNNNNNNNNNNNNNNNNNNNNNNNNNNNNNNNNNNNNNNNNNNNNNNNNNNNNNNNNNNNNNNNNNNNNNNNNNNNNNNNNNNNNNNNNNNNNNNNNNNNNNNNNNNNNNNNNNNNNNNNNNNNNNNNNNNNNNNNNNNNNNNNNNNNNNNNNNNNNNNNNNNNNNNNNNNNNNNNNNNNNNNNNNNNNNNNNNNNNNNNNNNNNNNNNNNNNNNNNNNNNNNNNNNNNNNNNNNNNUAUAAGUCCACGUACCCUAAAACAUCGACAACGAAGAUAGAUCGGGAGUUCCGCCGACGCAAGCCUCUGUAGCCACCAAAAACCUCUCGGGAGCCCGUUCCGGCACCCUGCCGGAGGGGGAACCCAUCACCGGUGGCCAUCUUCAUCAUCCCGGCGCUCUCCAUGACGAGGAGGGAGUAGUUCACCCUCGGGGCUGAGGGUAUGUACCGGUAGCUAUGUGUUUGAUCUCUCUCUCUCUCUCUCUCUCUCUCGUGUUCUAUCUAUGGCACGAUCUUGAUGUAUCGCGAGCUUUGCUAGUAUAGUUGGAUCUUAUGAUGUUUCUCCCCCUCUACUCUCUUGUAAUGGAUUGAGUUUUCCCUUUGAAGUUAUCUUAUUGUAUUGAGUCUUUAAUGAUUUGAGAACACUUGAUGUAUGUCUUGCCAUGCUUAUCUAUGGUGACAAUGGGAUAUCAUGUGCCACUUGAUGUAUGUUUUGGUGACCAACUUGCGGGUUCCGCCCAUGAACCUAUGCAUAGGGGUUGGCACACGUUUUCGUCUUGAUUCUCCGGUAGAAACUUUGGGGCACUCUUUGAAGUACUUUGUGCUGGUUGAAUAGCUGAAUCAGAGAUUGUGUGAUGUUUAUCGUAUAACAGAUACUUGAGGUGACAAUGGAGUAUCUAGGUGACAUUAGGGUUUUAGUUGAUUUGUGUCUUAAGGUGUUAUUCUAGUAUGAACUCUAUGAUAGAUUGAGCGGAAAGAAUAGAUUCAUGUUAUUUUACUAUGAACUCUUGAAUGGAUAGAACAGAAAGGAUAACUUUGAGGUGGUUUCGUACCCUACCAUAAUCUCUUCGUUUGUUCUCCACUAUUAGUGGCUUUGGAGUGACUCUUUGUUGCAUGUUGAGUGAUUGUUAUAUGAUCUAUCUAUGUUAUUAUUGUUGAGAGAACUUGCACUAGUGAAAGUAUGAACCUUAGGCCUUGUUUCCUAUCAUUGCAAUACCGUUUAUGCUCACUUUUACCACUUGUUACCUUGCUGUUUUUAUAAUUUCAGAUUACAAAUACCAUUAUCUACCAUCCAUAUUGCACAUGUAUCACCAUCUCUUCGCCGAACUAGUGCACCUAUACAAUUUGCCAUUGUAUUGGUUGUGUUGGGGCACAAGAGACUCUUUGUUAUUUGGUUGCAGGGUUGUUUCAGAGAGACCAUCUUCAUCCUACGCCUCCUACAGAUUGAUAAACCUUAGGUCAUCCACUUGAGGGAAAUUUGCUACUGCCCAACAAACAUGUGCACUUGCAGGCCCAACAACGUCUACAAGAAGAAGGUUGUGUAGUAGACAUCAGCCCCCUACCCCGACCUCGACGCCCCCCUACAUCGCCGCCCUCCGCCGCGCGCCCGAGCCCCGACCCCGACCUCGACGCCGCGUACCCCUCCCUCGGCCGCUCCCUAACUCCGCUGGCGCCCGAGGUGAGCACACCUACACCUCCUCCUCUUCCUCCUCCCCUAACUCUUCCUAGCUAGGGUUCCUAGGGUUCAUUAAAUUUUAGAGUUCAUCUAAUUAGGGCAGUAGUUGUAGAUGCUUCAUUGUAAACUAGAUGUUAAUUAGGGCAGUAGUUGUAGAUGCUUAAUUAGUUUUUAGGACAAGUUCCUAGGUUUCAUCAAUGGGUGCUUAAAUAGUUGUAGAUGCUUAAGUACCUAGGUAGGGUUCAUCUAAUUAGUUAGUACUUGUAGAUUCUUAGGAACUGGGGCAGUAGGGUUUGGGCAGUAGGGUUUAACUAGGGCAGUAGUGUUUAGUUUAGAGAAAAAAAUUCAAUAUAGUUUAUUUACUAUUUUUUAGUAAGUGUUUAAUAGAAUUAGUAUGAAAAUUAAUAGAACUAGUUGAACUAAUUUAUUAUUAGUAAGAACUAGUUGAAUUAAUAGAACUAGUUUACUUUUAGUAAGAAAAUUAAUAGAACUAGUUGAACUAAUUUAUUUUUAGUAAGAACUAGUUGAAUUAAUUAAUAGAACUAGUUUUUUUGUAAGAAAAUUAAUAGAACUAGUUGAACUAGUUUAUUUUUAGUAAGAACUAGUUUAUUUUUAUUUAUAGUAAGUGCUUAGUUGAACUAGUUGAAUUAAUACAACUAUUUUAUUUUUAGUAUGAAAAUUAAUAGACCUAGUUUACUUUUUUAGUUAAAGUAAUUAUUCCCGCAUCGACGUCAACAAUGUCUAUCCCGCAUCCUCGUCGUCGCACUACUAGGAAAAUGCUUACCAGUAGCGCUGUUUUUUUUGCUGCCAGUAGCAUUGGCAGACGCGCUACUACUACGGUGCUACAACUAUUUUUUUAGUAGUAGCGCUUGUUUGUCCCAGCGCUACUGGUAACUGAAGAUAGCAGUAGCGCUUUUUUGUAACCCACGCUACUACUAUCCUAAGUACUAGUAGCGUGCACUUUUCCCCCACGCUACUACUAGCUAAUUAGGAAUUAAAAAAAUAGAUGCAAUAUUCAUGUACGGAAAUCAGAGAAACAUCCAAUGCAAGAUAAACUAAGGUCACAGAACCAUCUCAACUGGAAAAGAUCACAAGAAUCCAUUUAACAUCAGGCGCACACAACCAUCAUCAAAACGUGGGUACCUUCCCUAGUGUUCACCACCAACCUAGACAAACCACUUCUCUAGAUGUAUCUACCAAGGCUCGGAGUUUAGACGCCGCUGGACCCAAAUCCUCCCUCCCACUGGACGGUGGCGUCGAGGUCCUCCACCUCAGUGGCCUUCGACAUCGCGAUCACCUGGACGGUCAUCUGUGCGAUGUGGCCGCCGGUCUUCGCCGAGUUGAAGAGCACAGCGCCCACCAGGCCGCGCUAGUCAGUGUCGAUCAACCCUGCAUCCACGUCGGGAAAGUGAAAACUUGUUAGUAUGCAAAUAUCAUCAGUUCAACCAAAUAGUAUGUUACAAUUCACAAGACCCAUUAAGUUAAGAUUCCUUCUCAUCUAGCAAUUUAAAAGAGCUCAUGCCGAAAAUAUAUGCUUAAUUCCUCACUGGUUAUUCAAACUAAAUGGUCCACGAACGCACAUGGUUACCAUGGAUACCAGUCUAGAUUAGUACUAUCUAUAAAGUUGCAAUUCCUAAAGUUGAUCGUCUCUUAGUUUUGUGAGAAAAAUAUGUUCCUUUUUAGAAAGCUUACAACUACAAAUAUCUUGUUACGAUCUUAGCUAAGCAGGACGGUUAAAAGAUAAACACACACCAUCUUUUUUUUUGAGAAUAUAAACACGCAUAAUAAAUAUGUGUGCAGAUGGAGCAUGGAUCAUCGAAGGCACUGACAAUUAAAAAUAGUAGUAUUGCAAGGAAUUAUUCCAACUAAGCCUAAUUUAAGCACCCUUUAUUGGAAAAAAAAUAAAGCCUAAAGUCAGCAAGCAACAGCUCUAUGGACAACUGGAGAAAGCAUGACAGGGGAGAUGGAAGGGUUCGUAGUUACCAGAGUCUUGCUGUCGACCAAACUCCGGUGACCGCGUGAGGCGGAGCAGCGAGAUUCCUAGCAAGAAUAAAGGAGUGGAUUGAAGUAUCUUUGUGUGUGUGUGUGCGCGCGCGCGCGCGUGUGUGUUUACGCAGCAGAGUGUGUACCUAAUGCUCCAUUUGACUUGACUUGUGGCUGGCAAUCCUUUGGAGUUUGGAGUGCCAAUCAUGUGGAGGUUAUGUUUUUGAGAGAUAAAUCAUGUGGAGGUGUGUAGCCUAUAUAUUCGUUGUGCAGAAAAUGAGUGGAAGGCAUGGGUCAAAAAAGAAUGGAAAAAUUCUCAAGAUUGUAGCUGUUAAAGUUAUACUAGCAAAAAGGCCCGUGCGUUGCAGCGGGACAAAAAAAAUACUUCAUACUCCUAGCCUAAUAAGCAUAGCUUAAUGGCUAAAGGAUAACUCUCUCCCCACGCAAUUCCAUGUUCUCUAUUUAAACAUGGCAUCCCAUUCGUGUCGCUUAUCCUCCUUUCCGCCCUCUACGUUGGUGGCCGCGGUGUCUAUUUGAUGACAAUGCAUUGUCAAUCCCAAGGUCAUCAUCUCUGAUUUUUUUGCAUAUUAAUUUCAGUAAUCCAUUUGUGUUAACCAAAUGGACUGGUUAGGAUUUGGAUCCGAAGAAUCCCAAAAGGAAUUGUGAAUCUUUUAAUUGAACCUAUGCUUUAUUAGAAUUUCUAUUAUCUACUUUGUAGGAAUUGCAACUCAACUCAAUCCAUCCAUUUUUUUCUCAAUGCAUGGACAGUUACCACAAAAUAUUAAUAUUACCGUGCUAAAAUAAGUUUUAGUCUAAGCGGUGGACAAAAAAACAAACAUAUAUACCUGACCUGAGCAUGUAGUUGUAUUUUUAGGAGGCACCCUGAAAGAAGAAAAGAAAGCGCUCGCAUAUGUCUCUUUCUCGUAAACCAGCUUCGUCCACCGAUGCAUCACAGGUUCACAACCCUGUAGUGCAAACAUACACAAAGAUUUAGGUAAGCAAACCAUGGUGUGAGAAGCCAAACUAAAAGAUUAGCCAAUGCAUAAAGCGGUAUGCAGUACAAACAGGAGCAAUCCAUGGCGUCCAUCUCAUGAGGCUGGUCAGGUGGGCGGAUGUGGCCACCGCCAUGGCCUGCUUGCUGGAUGUCCCCCUCCUGUCCUCUCCUCUCCUCUCCUCUCGUGGUGACGGGGGGAGGGGAUGAGGGAGUCAUCUGGCCUCCACCAUGGCAUGCCUGUUGUCGGUUCCAUGGUCGGGCGUCAAGGGUUUCUGGCGCCAUGGCUGGUACUGGUCACCAUGGCCUUGGCCUGCGUGCGUGAGGAAGAGGGAGAGGAAGGAAAUCAAAUCGCAGCAGCAAGGUAAAAUGGGAAGAUGAGAAGGCCAUGGAAGAAGGAGGAGGAGGAGAGGGAUCCGGUGCUGCACCUGCUUCCGCUUGCGGCUCGGUGGCUAUGCUAGCUAGGGUUUCGGACCUCCAUGCCACCGUGGAUCUGGGGCCUGCCUCACCUUCUCGCUCGAUCAGCGGAUGGGAGACAAGGUGAGGGGCGCGGGAGAGGAUGGAGCGGCGGCGCCGAGGGUAGAGGGAGACGAGACCGCCGGCGGCGGGGUUGGGGCAGAGGAGAGGAGGAUUGGGGAAUCGUUGGGUGGAGGAAGGAGGAAGUGGAGUGUGUGCGCGAGUGUUGGGUGGACUCUUUUUGUAGCGUGGGUGAUAAUAGCGCGUUUUGCAAACCAGGCGCUACAGCUAUGUGUUUAGCAGUAGCGCUGGGUUAAUCAUCCACGUUGCUACUAUGUCUUAACCCGGGGGUGUGGUGUGGCACAUUUACUAGUAGCGCUGCCCAAAAAAAAAACCACACUGCUGCUAAGUAAUAUCAGCAGCGCGUUUUGUACCAAGCGCUACUGGUAUUUACCAAUUUACCAGUAGCGUGGGGUCCCAAACAGGCGCUACUGGUAAAGUUCUACGUAUAAGCAUUUUCCUAGUAGUGUCGACUCGGCGGACGAGGCAUGCUUGAUCAGAGGGGCCAUGCUCAGGACUGGGCUCCGCCGGACUGGUACUGGGAUGUGCUACCUUCUGGGAGGCGCAGUUUGGUGAGGAGCCAUCCCAUCGUUGACCCGAACCUUCUUUGGUGGCGGUCGCGUGGGCCAGCGACGGUGCAAAGGCUUGAGGGCCCCAUGGAGGUGGUACGUCAUCGUGUCAGCGAGGAGGACGAGCACGUCCGUCGCUACAUGAUUGCGUUGGAGGGCAGGUUCUUCAGGGAUCUCACUGGAGCUAUGAUCCUGUGAUGGUUCCUUCUCUUUGGGUGUCCACCGCCCGGGCCGAUACCCGUCGUUCGCUAGGGUUUGAACUGUAUUAGUGAGGUUAUGUGUAUGAUACUAUUCAAGAUGUACUAGUGAUAAUAUUCAACGAUGUGCGAACGCAAGAGAUGAUUUAUUUUUUCUUAUUGAAUGCAUGCUAAUUUCAAUACUAAUUUAUUUUAUGAUUUAGUUUUGCUUAUUGAAUGCUCAAAUUGAAGAACUACUCCUAUUUUGAAUGCUCCAAUUGGAGAGCACUAUUUUGAAUACUAUUUUGUUGUUGCAGCCAAAUCUCCAUGUCGUCGCCGCCGUCGUCCCCGUCAUAGACCCCCUCCGACCUCGAGGUGAGACUAGCCAAAUCUCCAUGUCAAUAUGAGUCCUAUAAGAUAUUUUGAAAUGUUUUUGUUCAUAUUUUCAACCAUUCAAAUGCAAUGACCAUCAAGUUUGAAUGCAAUGACCAUCAAGUUUGCGCGGAAGAUGGUAGACAGAACCUACUACACCGAUGGCUCAUCAUUAACUUAUCAGGAGAAAAAUCAUCUGAUCGCAUUUAUUACUGAUCUUGAGAAUUACAAUAUGUAUUAUCAAACUCCUCCACAUUAUGGUCAAUACGUGCCACUAGUGCACGUGUUGAACUAUGCUAACAUCCAUGGAGACGUCAUGGUAAGAUUUUUUAGUAUUACGACAUCUGUGCAUCUUUUCCAUAAAUUCUUCUAAAAUUGAACUACAUUGCUAACUAGAAAGUUAGUAGUAUGUUUUUCGACAGAUAAUCCGGCAAUAUUGUGUGCCUCAUCUGAUGUUUCAGAAAGGUCGCCUUGAUGUUUUGAAUAUACGGCCAGGUCAUCCUACGAAUCACGCCUACUCAUAUCGGAUUUCUAAAACCAAUGAAGACAUGACAAUCAAAUAUUGGAAAAAAUGUAUGGUCACUUGUAGGGAGCUACUUCGAAGCAACAAUGUAUGAAGGGCAAGAAUUGGAGACAGGAUAAUCUCCAUUCUCCAUAAUGGAGAGUCAGGGCCUAUCUUGUUUUAAGCUAUUCUACCUAAGAGAAGGUAGUAGGUCCUAUGAGAGAGAAAUAGGUCGUAGGUACAAUGUGUUAUUAUGUGGUACAAUGUGUUAGAGUUGAUGAUGAUGAGGAGUUAUGAUUAUGACUAGUGACCAACUUGCUAUGUGAUGUCUCAUUGAUAAAAAAUGAUGAUCAUGAGGAGGUGUUAUAUGACAAUGACAUAUUAUGAUGAUAAGUUGUUAAUGAUAUGAUGAUGAUGAUGGUAUUUAUUAUAUCAUUGCGUGAAAGAACCGCAGAUUAGUUUCAAGUGGAUGUCCAUCCACUUGAAACUAGUCCACGGUUCUUUCACGCAGUGAUGUAAUAAAUAAUUAUGAUGUAAAAACAAUCUCCAAUUUGCUACUCUAUGAAAACUUGUAUAAAGGUGUAUGAAUACAAAAUGAAAUAAAAAAGAAAUAGAAUACGAAAUAAUAGUAAUAGCGCGGGAUACCAGAAGCGCUACUAGUAAUUAGCAGUAGCGAUCUUCCCAGGCAGGGGCGGAGCCAGGAUUUGGGUAUAGGGGGGGCCAAGGCAACUUGAAAAAAAUUUGGCUAGGGCAACAACAACAAAAGUAUGUGCCACUAGAACAUUGGUACAAUUGUAUUGGUUUAAAUUUAGCCCGACAAUUUUCAAUACAAUGAAAAAAUGAAUUUCUCAGAUCAUAACUUAGCUGAUGGGUAAUUAACUUUUAGUGGAGAUUAUCAAGCAAUUCUGAAGCAAGUCAUGUCCCGUUGGACUAGAUUGAUACCUUGCACAUUAGAUUAUCAAUAGGUAGAGCAACUGAAACAACAUGCUUGAAAAUCGAAUUAAUCCUUAAGGUGUUUGGCGGCGUUGUUCUAUUCAUAACUGUUUGCAGAUUACACAAUUAAAGAAAUUAAGAAUCAAUAGCAUAGUAGAUCACACAGUCAAUAUAAUUAAAAAUUGGAUGUACAAUUUCCCUGAAUAUAUGACGAGGGUUGAGAGACUAAUAGACAAUACUCACGCCAGUGCUAAACCUUGACUAGUUAGCUUGACCAUCGGAAAAUUGGAGUGUAGUUUCGAACACGGAGCCGGUGUUACCUAGUUUAAUCCAACUGAAUCUAAUCAGGAGUAGUGAGGCAAGAAGAACGGCGGCGGCGGACGGCAGCCUCCAAUAACGAGUUAAUCGCGCCAGGGACUAAUCUAUUCUUUCUUUAGGGUAAUGUCAUGGCCUCGUGGGCUAGUAGCUAGUAGUCAUGGCCUCAAAAGGGAAUUGAAUUGAAGGAGGCCAUUAGUGGGCUUUCCUAUGGCCUUUAUAUCUCCAAAAUUUACUCUGGGUCUGGGUCAGGGGGGGCCAAGUACGUAUAGCGGUCCAAUUUCGUUGCUAAUUAAUCGUAGCUUCUAACAAAAUUGUCGAUCGUUAGGGGGGGCCAGGCCCCUGCUCGCCCCCCCUUGGCUCCGCCACUGUUCCCAGGAAACGCUACUACUAAGUGGAUAUAGCAGUAACGCGGGUUGAAACACGCUACUGAUAAUGUUUAGCUGUAGCGCCGUAUCAGUAGCGCGGUUACCCGCUCUACUGAUAGGCCAAAAACACGCGCUACUGCUGGGCUUUUCCCUAGUAGUGCAGGGGGACCUCCUAUUUGGCGCUACAGUGCNNNNNNNNNNNNNNNNNNNNNNNNNNNNNNNNNNNNNNNNNNNNNNNNNNNNNNNNNNNNNNNNNNNNNNNNNNNNNNNNNNNNNNNNNNNNNNNNNNNNNNNNNNNNNNNNNNNNNNNNNNNNNNNNNNNNNNNNNNNNNNNNNNNNNNNNNNNNNNNNNNNNNNNNNNNNNNNNNNNNNNNNNNNNNNNNNNNNNNNNNNNNNNNNNNNNNNNNNNNNNNNNNNNNNNNNNNNNNNNNNNNNNNNNNNNNNNNNNNNNNNNNNNNNNNNNNNNNNNNNNNNNNNNNNCGCCUUGUUUUUUUUUAAACAGAGGUACACAUUCAGGUAACAGAUGGUAAUCAUGGAAAGGACAUGAUGAAAUGAUACACAUAUAUAUGAGAAACAAACGAAAUAACCAAUGCCAAAAAUAUAAAUUUCUUUAAAGUUUUCAUUAUUCUUGAAAUGGUGCUCUUGAUAUGACCUUUAGAAAAUUAACCAAGCUACUGAAAGAAUGUGAACAAAUUCUUACCUUAGAAAAGAGAUCAUGGACAUAAAUAAUCAACCUAUAAGAAAAGCUUGCAAGCCACUGAAUGUAAUUUAUUUAGAGAGAAACUUACUGUACCAGUGGCGAACAUAACAUCUGAGAGUAUAAGUUUCGCAUUUCUUUCUACAUUGAUCGACAAAUCCUCUUAUUUGCUUGAUAACUAAAAUCCCGAUGCAUUAAUAACUUGUUUUUCUUAUCACAGGUACCUGAUCAAGCUCAUCUACACAUGAAUUUCGAAACAUUGAGGAGUGCAACAUCAAAAUAGAGCGAUUCGCUGAAAACAAAACAAUAGAGCAGAUGGUCACUGUCGGUUGAGCUGGAGAGAUGUUUCUGCUAACACUUUGACACCAUGAAGUAAAUGUCUGAACAAUAUUGUUGCUGUUUGGACGUCAUAUCACACAUGUGCCAAAUCAUAAAUCUCGGUGUUCCUUCAGUUUACAUGGGAGUUAAAUUUUAUGUAAAAACAACCAAAUAUGCAGCAACUGACAUUACAGCUGAAGAAUUCAUACUACUUGGUUGCAGCAUGCUGCUCAGUAUUAACAAAUCUACCGACCGAAAAUAGCUAAUGGGUUCAUGGGUGGCCAACUGACAUUACAUUAUAAGCUAAACACAGUGACACAUGCAAACUUAGUACAGGCAAAAAUUCGCACAAAGAGAACUGAACAUUGCUUACUUAGCUAUUGUGGUGCGUAUGCAGUGCACCCAGUUUGUCCACAUUCCAGGAUUCUUAUUUUCAAUACAAAAUCUCACUCAAAGGGUGAAUUGGUCUUCACGCUUCGAGCCAGAACAGUAACCUACAGACCAUACGUGCAUACUUUAUUUAUGAUAACUGCACAAUAUGAAUACUAAUUCAAGGAUAUAUACGUCCUACAAAUUAAAAAGAAAGAAAAUCAGUAAUUCAGAUGAGAAUCUAACUUAUCGUUGACUCCUUAUUUUCUCUUGCGGAAGAACUAAUAAUCACUGGUGUUGUCUCUACCGCAUCAGAUUGGUUAAAAAAAAUCUACAUAUUUAACAAAAAAUAAUAUGAGCGACUUAAUCAGCACGUACUUUAAUUGUAGAAGGCAAGCCCAGUUUGCAGAAUCUCCAAUACUCACCAGACUGAUAAUUAUUUCCAGAUCGCUUUAAGGAAAAGAUAACGGUAUUUCACCUGACAGGGAACAGGACCAGGAACACUACUUGGUCACAUCUCACCUGAUGUCCACUAUGUUUGUGGUCUAUUUUUUUGUUCCAACUUUUUUUUUGUUCCUUGUUGUUGAGUUAUUUGUGGGAGCUUAGAUGUGACAUCCUUAGAAAACAUUUAGAUGUGAAUUAGGCAAACAGCACUACUUAACUGAUGGAGCGCUGCUGCAUCCCUCUUCUCUGACAGAAUUGCCUUCCAACAUUGAACACGACCAGACUGGACAUGGUAAUUGCGUGAUGAGCAUUACCAGAAAAUCUGUUACUUAUUUACUUCCGACUGAUCCCCCAUUGGCUUCUUUCUUAUGCUUGUUGUUCACUGCCUGAUUUGUGAACUGCUGCUACAAUUAGUCCUUGGUGGCUGUUUGCAGAAGAGCUUCAUCAUAAGCCUUGUAGUUCUGGAUGCCAUUAUCCGUUCUCCCUAGAACAUGUGCACACAUUAUCGACCACAAAUAUCGAAUCAAAGGCAUGCAGGAUCUAUUCUGAACUUACAUCAUCGAUGCAUCAACUCUCACAGGCUCACUUUCUGCUGCCUCUACGGAAUCCACAAAAAAAUAAAUCUUGUGAACUGUUAUGCGCAAGAAAACCAUGUACAAAUGGUUAUUUAUAUCUUAACAAACAGAGUCACCUGAUCCAAAAAAAAUUCCUUACGUGCACAGCCUGGCCCUCUGGUGAUUCUUUGCAUCAACAGGGGCCAGGAGGAGGAGGGGAUUGGCACCCACGACUGCUGAUUGAAUCAUAGCGGAGGGAGAUCCAUAGAUGGGCACUACUUGCGGAAUUACCCGGCGGAACAAUUCUCCGGGAAAGGCUGAUGGAGACACGAACUUGGCUGCUUGAUUGGAGGUCAGCUAUGCAGCGAAAGCAACAGCGAGAUUAACUUGGCUGCGGAUUGGCGGUGAGCACGAUGGAGAUGAAACGAUGUAGGGCUCCAUAUUCCUUCUCUAUCUGGAUCGUUUUGUGGAUAGAUUGUAAGGGCCGAUCGGACAGGGAGUCUCGGCCCAAUCGAACUGUCAGAAUUAACAUGAGCCUCCGAGGGCAUUGGGAGACUGAGGCAGCUUCUUCACCAUGAUUGCCAAUUUUAACUUGUCGCCAAAUCUAGGAGAAGACAGCGCUCACUUUUUUUAGGUAAACGGAGGGAUCAAGGCCCAAGGGGAUGAUACUUCACGCAGGUCAAAUCUAGGAUGACAUAACUCUGAUUUCUUUUCUUUUCGUUGGAAACGGAGAGAGUCCAAUGGGAACACCACUCACGUAGGCGGGAUAGGAGAAUACUCACGCCCUUUUUAUCCAGUGGCUAAACACACAUCAUAUAUUAAUCGGACGGUUAAAAUUUCUUAAUUUUAACAAUUAAUAUGAUGCCUCGUAUGGUGCCUCCAAUUAGUAAAAACUAGUCGUCAACCCGUGCAUCUGCACGGGCUAGCCUAUUUUAGGUAGACGUAUAUACGUUGUACUUCUAUUAACAUUUUGCUACAUGCAAUAUUUUUUAGAAGUUAGGUACUUGUACAUGAAGGGGGGGAUAAAAGAGGAAUGUAAAUAUAACUUUCAAAAUUACUUUCCAAAAUAAAUUAUAGCUCACGUAAUUCAUAGAGUAUAUAAUUUAAUAUAUAAAUAUGAGGUGAAGAAUUACGCCUUGGUGCAAUGAAGUCAUGAUCAAUGAUCCAGUGCCAACUACCAAACCUAUAGCAAGCAUAAAAAUAUUUUGUGAUGUAAGUCGUUGAUGCUGCAGUAAAGUGUGAAGCUUCAUUAAAUAUUUCAAUUAAUAUAUGUGGAAGGAAUACACACAUGUAGAGUAUAGUACAUGACUCAUCUCUGCUUUUAUUCCUCGUGACAAUUUUAAUGGAAGGAAAUAUCGUAUACAUGAAUGCAUGUUACUACGAAAGUGGCAAAAACAAUAUUUCUCUCCCUUUCCUAGAGCUCAAACUUAUUCUUUGUAACAUACCUUAUACUCUGAAAAAGGGGAAAUAUGUUUUCAUUACGAAAAGUUACUAUCGUUUCCUCUCAUAAAAAGGUGAAUCAAAAUCUUGCGUGCUUGCAAAAUUCACUGUAUAAACACAAAUGGCAACAAAUGUCAUGAUAUUGCAUGUAAACUGCAAAUGUAGAUGUUUACAUUCUAAGUUUCAGAAAAAUAUAUUAAUGUAGUUGGCUGAAAUAGUAAAACUUUAUAGUUACUAUUUUUGUGUGUAUGUUAACAAAAAUACAAAUGAGUGUGUAUUUCAUUUAUUGUUUCAUAAUUACGACACGCACAUUAGUAUUGUUUGUGUAACGUGCAAAUAAAUGUAUUCCAUAUUUAAAUGAUAGCAUAAACAUUUACAUGUGAGGAAAAAAGUCAGGAAUUUCUCAAAUUUAAAGAGGGAUUUGAUUGAUAUUAUUUUGUUGAAUUUUUUGUCUAAAAGAAGGCUGUGACAAAAAUGUUUGCACUUGAUAUGGUCUUAUUAGUAUAUUUUUAAGGAUGAUAAUGAAAACAAAAUAAUAAAUGUAUAGGUAGAUAAGUUAGAUUUUUCUUAUCAGAAAUAUGUCCUCCAUGUGUUGCCUCAGCCUUAAUAACAUCAUGUCAUAUUUUUGCAUACACCUAAUUAAAUUGUAAAUAUGGAAAAACUGCCGCUCAAGCCUAACUUAAUUAUAUGCAGUACAAAUUAUAGGACAAAACUGCAGGCAUUUAGAAAAUAUGAAUAACGUAAAAUUCCCAAUCGCAGGCUUGUUCAAAUUAAUGCCUAGCCCAAUAUGCUCUUUAAAGAACAGAGGGGGACAAAAUUUUGAUAUACUUUUAGACAUAGCAGAACAAUAAAUAUUGCAGAUUGAUCCGAAAGAGCUCCAUGAGCUCAUAUAUAAAACUGGAAGUUGCUAGUGUCUGUAGAUUUAAAUUCCUCUAUUUUUAUCGUCUCUUCACUGGAAGAUAACAUGUAUAAUUUAGCAUGUAUAUGUGCAGAGAUAGCAAUUCGCCACCUACAGAAUGUUGAUCUGACAUACAAUUGGAAACUUAGAUCGCAAGACAUUCUAUACUUCUAACCAAUUAUUCAUGCCUUCAAAUACUUUAGUCUAGAAACCAACCAAAUCAAUUAUUAGAAGGGAAAGAAACUAAGAAAUAAAAGGACUGAUGGAUAAUGUCUUUUCAACAAAAUAGCAGUGCAACACACCAUCUGUACAUAAAAACUGUACGUAGUUAUCAUGCAUGCAUAGGAUACAUGAUCCCCAAUUUCAUUAUAAACCAGCUAAAGUGAGAAAAACAUACAUCUAUAUGGGAUGUACGCCACUGUCUGCCCAUGGCGGCCAGACACGCCGUCGCCAGCUGCUGCACCACGGCCUAACACUUGGGCUACCACAUGACGAUGAUUGGAGGUGGAGUCCCGUAGCAAACUGUUGUUCUGGGUCUCUACCGGCCUGCUCGCAGCAGCCAUAUUGAUGUCCUAGCCGGACAAAAAACAGUGCUGCUAUUGCCAGCUAAUAAUGUUCUGUGACUGUUUUCCAAAUUAAACUACAAAGGUAUGACCACAUUGCCUAUAAACAGUGUGAUAAAUAAAUGGAAUAUGUUUAAAUAUGAUUUUUGAAAGACAUGGUUGAACUCCAAUAAACCAAAUUCCUAGAUGAGGUUAGAGAGGACGGCUAGGUUACAUAGCUAUUGUCUCUAGGAAACAACAGAAUCGAAGUAGUAACAUGCAGGCUAUUGAUCUGUUGCUACAGUCUCUGCAGGGAAUAAGUUCAGAAAUAAUGACAACCACUUGCUAGUGUAUUAAACUAAGCAUUAUCUUGCAUGCUUGAACAUUAGUAAAGCAAUCUAAAUUUAAUCAUAGUGCAACUACAGAUAAUGUAUAAAAGUUAUUGAAAAUCCCAGCCACGGAAUUAGCACUUACGUGAAGCUCCUGAUGCCUAGAGACAUGGACGCAGCGCAAACCUGUUGAUACUCCCGGCAAGGCCCGAUGACGACGUCGAUGGCGGCAGUUCCUAUAAAAAUUGGACAUAUAAAAAAGUCAUACCUAUGAAACUCCCGAUUGCUAUUUAUUUGAACAUCCUCAUUCUUGCAAUAUUCUUUGAAAUGAAAUCUACAAUGAUAUCCUCAUAAUCAAUCUUCUCCAAGGCUUCACUCUCAAGUGCUAUUGUGGCCAAAUCAUUGAGUCUUUGCUGUGUCAUAGUAGUACGCAUAUAGGGAAUAGCGAUCCUGUCUUUUUGUGUUUUUACAUCGGCUGAUCGAUUCGAUCAAUCGAUCGCUGAGCACCAGAGCCGAUCGAUGACCUGCGCACCUGGCCUACAGGCCCACUGGCCCAGGUCGCUCGAGGCAACUUGCCUAGAGGCCCACUGGCCCAGGCACCCAGCUUGCUCGAGGCGCCCACGGCGCGGUGGCCAGAUCGAUCGAGGCGCCCAUGAGCCACGACGCCUAGUCGCCCAUGACGUCCAGUCGUUUUUUUAAUACAACUAUAUGCCUAUAUAUAUAUUGGGGCCCCCCCCAAAAUCGUGGGCCCUGUGCGGGCUGCACAUGUGGCACCACUGUGGGCUCGGGCCUGGAUGGCACUGGCGGCGGCGGGCUUUGUGGUACGUCGCCGCGUAUAGGUCGAGCACAUAAUCAGGAGAGACGGUCUCGCAAGACUAUUACGUGGUUAGUUAGCCUUAUUUUUUCUGUUAGCCUAGGUAUAGAUAGAUAGAUUUGCUUGUGGGAGAGAGAUAGGUACGUGAGUUUUUUUACACCUGAGAGAUUUCAAUCGUGGGGGAGAUAACCAUGAGAUUUUUUUUCUUUUUGGGAGAGAUUGAAGAGAGAUCUACACCAUAAUAAUUUGGUCCCAUCAGAUUAACGGCUCCUAAUUACUAAUUAACAUGGUAAUUUCUAGGGAGUCACAAAUUAGUAUAGGUAUAGAUAAGAUGUUCAUUAUUUCAAAAAGAAUUAACAUGUUUUUGUUUUAAUGAAAUUUAUUUUAUUUUGAUGGUCAAUUUUUAUGACAAUUUUCCAAUAAUGAUGAAUUUUUUUGUAUAUGAUGUACAUUUUUUGAACUUCACGAACAAAAUUUGUAAUCUAGAACAUAUUUUUGAAAAAUGGAUGAACAAAUUUUGAAUUCAAUGAGUAUAUUUUGAAUUUUAAGAAAAAUUCUCCGAAAAAAUAUGAACAAAUUUGUAUUUUGAUGAACAUUUUUGUAAUUCCAUGAAAAAAAUUUGAAUUUUGACGAACAUUUUUCAAAUCCAAUCAACAAAAUUUGAAUUCUGUGAAAAAAAUUACAUUGAUGAACAUUUUUUGAAUUCGAUAAACAAAACAAAUAUGUUACCAAAUUUGAAAAGAAAAUUCAGAAAAAAGCGAAAAGUAAAAAACUAAGAAAUUUCUAAAAAAAAUCAUGAUGUCAAAAACUAUUCACGAUUUGAAAAAAAUGUUCACGAAUUUGAAAGAUGAUUGCAAAUUGAAAAAUCAAUCGUAUGCUUGCCCUACCAUUGCACUAUGAUUUUUUAUUAUGUUCAUUUCAUCAUCGUGACGUGCGGCAUGAUCUGCCCACUGUAUUUUGUUCAACAGAGGAAAGGAAUUGCAUGCCAAACUAGUCUUUGACGACUAUGCAUGAGAAGACGGCGGUAGCACAAGCAACCGCAGUGGGGGAGCAUGGGUGAUGGCGUGUCUAGACGAGCGUCAACAGAGGGAGGUCUAAGAGUUUUUUCUUCCUUUUGUUUUGCACAAUGGCACGAUAUAUCGCGUUAUGGACUCAAGAUGAGUUGAUUAGGGCCCAUGCUUUUGGCGAGCGCCAUGUAUCUACACAACUUGUCACCAUUACGAAGGAAUCAAAUAAAUUAAGUUUAUGUAAUAAAUGGAAACUCCGUGUCUCACUCACUCUAACUCAAAUUAACCUUUUCUUACGCUUCUUGAUCGCCGGCGGUUUGCCCGGCUCCGAUGAAGGAGGGAUAAUGACGGUGGCUCCAAUGCUUGUAGUCGUCUCUAGAUGAUAUAUGGAUCUGAAUGUAAUUUUUUACUUCCGCUGUCGGAGAUGCCCUCAGUUUACGCAAAGAAAUGGUUAACAUAUUUUUUCUAGAAAACUUUCAAACUAUUCAUCGAGAAGUAGACAGUGAUACGGGAGCCGACCAAACUAUUCGUCCCAUUUUAUUCCCUUUUAAGUGUGAACCACUAAAAGCAAUAUCAUAUCAAAUCUUUGUGUAGGGGAAAUACUAAAAUGCGACAGUAGUUCAAAUGUAAAUAUUACAAUCCAACCAUGUUUGCAAAUAAAAUAGUUCAAACUUGAAUUAAAUUGGCAUGUAUGUUCUAAUUAUUCCCUUUAACCGCCACAUAUGCUCAAUAAGAUCUUUCUUGAGCUGCUUAUGAGUUGCUUAAUGCCCAAUUUGUUGGUGCAUUUGGACAAACUCGACGACCAUAUGUUGAUGAAUUUCUUAAUGCUGAAUUUAUUAAUAUUAAUAUUCUAUUUUAUUUUUUGCAGAAAGGAUCAUAUCUAAUAUAAAGAUCCAUCGAAAAUAUAAAUCACAUCAAACAUAAUAAAAAAAUCGAGGUCCAUGGACCAUCGGACGAUCAAUGUCGCCGCCUGAACGAGGCGCCGUCGUCGCUCCAAUACCAGAGAUCAUUCGUUCUUGUCGAUGAUAGCCGCUUGCCGUGGCUGCUGGCACAGAGUUAGUUGAUGCUUAUUCCUCAGAUGUUGUCAUUGUUCCUUCUCCGAGAAAAGAAGUUUAUGACCCAUAGGCCUUCCACCUCCACACGACAUUGCUCCCAUUUUCCUACCCUCGCGGGAAAGUAAAGGCACUCCCCCUGUGGAAGGCUAUGGGUGAGGAGGGAUUCAAUCCCCGACACCGUGGUUCGUUGCCACAUGAAAGUCUUCAUGCACAUGCCCCUAAGGAUCAGUGCCUUAGAGUCGCAAUCAUCAAUAUGUAGACUCCUUUUAUCGAUCUGAAGAACCCGACACCCAUAACCUCGCCGCCCAGAGGGGCUGGAAGGAACUAUGUCGGAUGUAUGUCUAGUCUGUGCUGAUGGAUGAACUUGAGUUGGAUCGGAGCCCGGAAGACUGAAUUGAAGCACAAUCGCCGCCAUCCGUUUGAACGUUGCUCCUGCGAGGACUAAAACCCUACCUAUAUAUCUACUUGCCAGAGCCGAGGCACCAAUACUCUUCUCCUCGCCACCGGCCGCCGGAGCGGCAUGAGGAGGGGAGGCGAAUCCAGAGGCUUGUUGGCGGAAAUCAAGGUAAGGAACACUUUCCCUAGUCGCCUUGUGAGAGAUGAAAGAAAGCUACAUCAAGACUAAUAUUAUAAAUUUUGGAAGCAAUUGCCAUUUUAUUCUAAGUUUGAGUGAGCUAUGGUUUCUAUCAAAAUUUGAAAGAUAUUUAUAAUUGUUCUUGUAUUCAACGAAACGCAUGGGUUCACAAUUUCAGGUUGUUGAAUUUUUUAUAUCAAGUUACACUAAGUAAUAAAAUGUAUAUGCGGCAAAAAAAAAGACGAACCUUUCCUUAGCCAGAUCUUGACCUUGUGCAGAACCCACAAGGUAUAUAAAAACAUGGAAACUACUCUACCCGCAAAGAAAGAAACUAAUCUAAUUCGAAUAUCCAUUUGUGAGUGUAGACUCAUCAAAUUCUUACUAGUAUGCACACAAAUUAGUAUGGAGUAUGCAUGGGAGCCAAAUUAACUCCCUCACUCAUAUAUUCAUGUUCAUAGUUCACAACGGAGGUGAAUCCUGUACGACCCGCUUGUGAGAGAGCUCCUCGUGGGGUGGCCCACCUGCCAGCCUCCCCAUGCGGCCGGGUCGCACGUACGACCCGGUCGUACAGGAUUAUUUUGCGUUCACAACGAAUCUGGCAAGCUAGACCGUCUCAACGCAACUAUUAAAACCGCGACAAGUGUUAUGUAACAGAUGGCUGGCCUCUUGAACGGAUAUUUUUCUUGGCUAAAGCAAAACGAUCGAAGUGAACAAGCACCCCAAUCAUGCGUCCGGUAUUCCCGUGUUGUGAAUAGCGUUAGAUCGUGUGAACCCAAAGACACUGAAGUAAAGUUGGAAGCUAGUUAGUCUGAGCUGGGCCAGAGAGGUGCAGAUCAUUAUUGCCCCUCUGCGUAUGGUCACGAGUAAAACAGUAAGAUUCCCACUAUGCUCUAUGCUUGUUUGUUUUUCUUUUUUGCGCUAAAAUACUUAAUUUGUUUUCCGAAGGACAACAGUAUGUAAGUAAUAUUAUUGUUAUUUGAAGCAAAUUGUUGUUAUUUUGCAUGAGGUUGCAGGAGGAGACAAAAGUUGCAAUCAGAAAAUGAGAAAGAGAAGGAAAAGAAAACAUAGUUGCAAUUAGCUGGAAAUGCAAGCCACCGCGUGGGACUGACUCACUGAUGACUGAGCAACUGCACUAGUGCACUCACUGUUGCUGUUCGUCCAGUCCAUGCACAAACCCCAGUGUGAGAGCAGUACAUUGCAGCAGCUGCUACAGAUUAUAUUGUCGGCUCAAUUAUUGCACCAGGAGCAGGGGGAGACCGGAGAGAUGGAGAGUCAAGUAAACGCUCGUAGCUAUCUCUUGUCUUCCCCUCUCCGAUCCAGCGCACCCUGCAGUCUGCAUUCUAAUCUAGUGCCAGACAGCAACGCCGGCCGGGAGAUCAUGGCGAGCACGGUGGUGAGCAUGGCGAGAUCCAUGCUGGGCGCUGUUAUCAGCGUGGCCGCCUCCGCCGCGGCCACCGAGAUGAGCCUUCUCAUCGGCGUCCGCAAGGACAUCUGGUAUGUCAAAACACCCACACACUCACUACUCUUCUCUGCCAUGCUCUGUUUCCGUCGAUCCAUUCACCACACAGGAAGUUGCUACUUGUUACCCGUAAUACCUUUUUUCUCUAUGGUUAGCUAGUAUAUAUUCUGGUAGAAAUUGCUCAGCCCUUCUUGUGUCUGGGAAUGACAAAUCAUGCAUCCAUCAGCACACAUAAGUUGUGAUUUGAGAGGCGACAAAAAAAGUUUUAACAAUAACAAUCACUCAAAAAGUAGUAUACGGGACCAGAAUGUUUUUAUGCAUCCGUUUUUCGUGUUUUUGUUUGUGAUGUGUGCUCUAGCCUCAUAGACGUUGCAUCUGUUCUGCUUUGUUGCAUCCUUCGCAUGUGUUCCAACCAGCUGUAGAUUGUUCUAAUGAACUUAACUCGUUUGGCAGGUUUAUGAAAGAUGAGCUAGAGACGAUGCAUGCGUUUCUGGUGACCGCUGAAGCAACCAAGGAAAAUAACAGGCUACUGCAGGUGUGGGCUAAGCAAGUGAGGGACCUAGCCUAUGGUAUUGAGGAUUGCCUUGAUGAAUUUAUGGUAUUGACGUUGAAAACAGAAUUCCCCCCGCUCCCUCCCGCCGCCGCCGCCCCUCCCGCCGCCGCCGGCCGUCGGCCCCGCCCCCCGCCUCCGCCCCCCUUCCGCCCUGCCCCUCCUCCGUCAAGGCCGCCUCGCGCCGCCUCCCCGGGAGGUGGCCGGGGCGGAGCUCGCGCCCCUCGCCCGCGGGANNNNNNNNNNNNNNNNNNNNNNNNNNNNNNNNNNNNNNNNNNNNNNNNNNNNNNNNNNNNNNNNNNNNNNNNNNNNNNNNNNNNNNNNNNNNNNNNNNNNNNNNNNNNNNNNNNNNNNNNNNNNNNNNNNNNNNNNNNNNNNNNNNNNNNNNNNNNNNNNNNNNNNNNNNNNNNNNNNNNNNNNNNNNNNNNNNNNNNNNNNNNNNNNNNNNNNNNNNNNNNNNNNNNNNNNNNNNNNNNNNNNNNNNNNNNNNNNNNNNNNNNNNNNNNNNNNNNNNNNNNNNNNNNNNNNNNNNNNNNNNNNNNNNNNNNNNNNNNNNNNNNNNNNNNNNNNNNNNNNNNNNNNNNNNNNNNNNNNNNNNNNNNNNNNNNNNNNNNNNNNNNNNNNNNNNNNNNNNNNNNNNNNNNNNNNNNNNNNNNNNNNNNNNNNNNNNNNNNNNNNNNNNNNNNNNNNNNNNNNNNNNNNNNNNNNNNNNNNNNNNNNNNNNNNNNNNNNNNNNNNNNNNNNNNNNNNNNNNNNNNNNNNNNNNNGGCGGCGGUGCAGCCCGGCUUGGCUGCGGUCCGGCGGCCUUGCGGUGGCGGCCGGCGGCCGGCGUGGUGACGGCGCCGCUCCAUGGCGGCGGGGCGGCGUGGUGGUGCUGGGUGGCCGUCGACGCGCCCCCGGCCCAGAUCCGGGCACGUCGGGCCCCAUCUGGGCCCCUGGGGGCCGGCCCCCCGGCAUGGUCUCGCUGUCUGCGGCGCGGUGAGGAGAAGGAGCGGCUCGGACUUGGGGCGUCGGCGCCGAUGGCGUGCCGGCAGCAGCGCGAAGGCGGGAGCUUUACGGGCCCAUGGGGGCUCGGCCGGGCCUGUGGGCCUACGGGCCUGGUGUGCUCCUGCUAUUGCGUCCGGACGGCUACUGUCGCUGACGGUGGAGGUGGGGCCCUCCCGCGUGCCGAUGGUGCUGAUGCCCUAGUCCCGGCUCUGAUUCUUCGUCGUGCUGUCCUCACUUUACGGUGCCAUGGUGAGACGGCGUGGAGGCCUCAUGACCGCGUUGGCGCAGGGUGGUGGUUGGUUUGGUGGCGGGAUCCGGAGCGCCCGAGGUGCGGGUUGGGAUCGGGGGAAACCCCUGUCGGCGUGGCCGACUCCGGCGCGGUGGCGCCUGUGGGUGCCGCCUGACCUUCCGGGAGGGCGUCAGGGGCUACUCUUCCUCUCGCCUCGUCGUGUACCGGGGAAAACCCUUGGCAGCAGUGUCGUCAUCGUCGCGAUCCUUCUUGCAGGUGUUGAUUGGUGCCGGCGCUUCGAAGUCUUGGAGCCUCGUGAAUGAGCCCGGUGGGCCUAGCGAUCGCGAGGCUUCUUUGUUUUUGUUGAUCCGCCGUUGUUGGCAUUUGUUUCUUUUGCUCUUUCUCUGUUGUUUCUUUUGGGCGUGACUGUGCUGCUUCCGCCCCAGCACCUAUUCCUGUAUGAUUCGGUUGGUUGCUUUGUAUACAAAGCAGGGGAAACCCUUUUUCGGUAAUUUAUGGUGCAUGUGGGAAGCCAGAGCAGGUCUCGACGGCUGCUUAAGCUGAAAGACCGCCAUCGGAUUGCCAGCCAAAUCCGUGACCUCAAAGCAAGAGUAGAAGAGGUGAGCAGCAGGAACACACGCUACAACUUGAUCACCGUUGAUGCCUCCAGCAGCAUUGAUGAGGUGAAUUCCUACACGGAAGAUAUUCGCAGCCACUCAGCUAGCAACAUUGAUGAGGCAGAGCUUGUGGGCUUUGUGCUGAAAUCUGAGAUGGGCUCUAGACCCAUAUUGCAAUUUCUGAAAAAUCUCUAAGGGCCCAUGUGGGUUAUAUGGCACUAGGUGUGGUGGGAAGUUUAGUCCCACCCCGGAAGUGGAAGGAGAGUUGGAGUGGUUUAUAAGGGUUUCUCUUCUACAUGCUAUUGGAGCUUGAGAAGAGAAGAGGCCCUCGCGCACUCCUCCUCCGCCGCCCGCCUCGCCACGCCACGCCUCGCCUCGUCACGACGCGACGCGACGCGGGUUGCGGGAUUGAGCCGAGCCGAGCUCACACCUACGCGGGAUUGAGCCGAGCCGAGCUUUGCUGCUGCUGCCGCCGGUGACUCCAUCCCGUCCGCCACGUACACGGUCGACGGGAGAGCAGGUCUCCGAAACCACGCCCUUCUGGUUCCUGUACGGGGUGAGGGGCGAAUAGGUUUUUGGGCAGCGAUUACGCGACUGCUCGCUUCCGAUCGUCUACUUCCUCUACGUCCGCGUCGCCUUCGUCAUCACCAUGUCCACCGACGCCGAGAAAGCUGAAGCCGACAAAAAGGUCGCCGAGGACGCCGCUGCUGCCACCAAAGCCGCGGCCUCUGCGUGGCCUACUGGAGGGUAUAACUCGUUUAUCCCGCUCCUGAUUAUUUUCAUAUUAGCAGUACUAGCAGUAUGUGUAGAUUUGUCUACUGUUUGCUUAGUACGUGCAUGUUUAGAUCAGAGUCAGUACGUCAUCAACUUAGUCAAUGCCAUGCUAGUGAUUUACUCAUGGAUUAAUUUAAUCGAGAAAUUGCCUAUUUACUCAACAAUCCAAAAACCUAUUAUGUGUAGGAAUUUCUCGGCAAGUGGCUUUGCCGCUGCACUGAAACCGGAUAAGUUUACCGGUACAUACUUCAAGCGUUGGCAGACUAAGACCACGUUAUGGCUCACGGCUAUGAACGUGUUCUGGGUCACCGGUGUCUCCACGGGAACGAUUGCUCCUGAACAGGAGAAGGCGUUCAAGGAGGCUACCAUUGUGUUUCUCGGAGCAGUUCUUAGCGUGAUCGGAGAUAAACUGGUCGACGCAUAUUUACAUGUGCAUGUCGCCAAGGACUUGUGGGAGGCGCUCGAAUCUAAAUUCGGGGCCGCCGAUGCAGGGAGCGAGAUGUAUAUUAUAGAGCAGUUCCACGAUUACAAGAUGGUUGAAAACCGUCCUGUAUUGGAGCAGGCUCAUGAGAUAAUAUGCAUUGUUAAGGAACUUGAGCUUCUCAAGUGCGAGUUACCGGGCAAGUUUGUCGCGGGCUGCAUAAUCGCUAAGCUCCCUAAUUCCUGGAGGAACUUUGCCACCACUCUGAAACAUCAGAGGCGUGAAUUCUCUGUGGAGGAUGUCAUUGGCCAUCUGAGUGUUGAGCAGAAUUCGAGGACAAAAGACUCGCACGGAAAAGGGGCCGAAGGGACUUCUGUUGCCAACAUGGUGAACCAGAAGAACUUCAACUCCCACAAGCCCAAGGGAAAGAACGGUGUCCAACACAAUACCGACUUUAAGAAGAAGGGUAAGAAGACCUUCAAGAAGAAUAAGAAGGACGAGGGCUGCUUUACUUGUGGUUCGGUUGAACAUUGGGCCAACAAGUGCCCAAACAAGUACAAGAAGUCAGGACAGGACUCCAAGUCUGUCAACAUGAUUGUGGGCAACAAUGAGAAUGGUGCAUCUGGGUACGGUAAUUUAUUUACUGUUUUUUCAGUGUUUCAACCCAACGAUUGGUGGGUGGACACAGGUGCAGGUGUUCAUGUGUGUGCUGACAUUUCAUUGUUCACUUCUUACCAGGUCACAGGUUACGGGUCCGUAUUGAUGGGGAAUGGCGCGAGUGCUUCUGUUCAUGGUGUUGGCACGGUCGAUCUGAAGUUUACUUCGGGAAGGAUCGUGCAGCUGAAGAACGUGCAGCAUGUCCCCGCCAUCAAGAAGAACCUCGUUAGUGGCUCCCUUCUAUGUAGAGAAGGGUUUAAGUUGGUUUUCGAGUCUAAUAAAUUAGUUGUUACAAAAUAUGGACUCUUUGUUGGAAAAGGUUAUGAGAGCGGAGGGAUGUUCCGCCUUUCCCUCGCAGAUUUUUGUAAUAAAGUUGUGAACCAUAUUCAUUCGAAUGUUAAUGAAUCUGAAGUUUGGCAUUCACGUCUUUGUCACAUUAGUUUUGGUGUUAUGACGCGGCUAGCCAAGUUGGAUUUAACCCCGAGUUUCACUUUAGCCAAAGGUUCUAAGUGCCUUUCAUGUGUGCAAGCUAAGCAACCUCGCAAGCCUCAUAAGGACGCGGAGGAGAGACACCUGGCACCAUUAGAACUCAUACAUUCUGAUCUUUGUGAGAUAAAUGGUGUGUUGACUAAAGGUGGAAAGAGAUACUUCAUGACAUUGAUAGAUGAUUCCACUAGAUAUUGCUAUGUGUAUCUGUUAAAUAAUAAAGAUGAGGCUCUACACUACUUUAAAAUCUAUAAGGCAGAAGUUGAAAAUCAACUUGAAAAGAAAAUUAAACGAGUCCGGUCAGAUCGUGGUGGAGAGUACUUCUCGAGUGAGUUUGAUUCCUUCUGUGCGGAACACGACAUUAUUCAUGAGAGGACGCCUCCCUAUUCACCCCAGUCAAACGGGGUUGCCGAGCGGAAAAACCGUACUCUAACUGAUUUGGUUAACGCCAUGUUAGAUACAUCGGGUUUAUCCAAGGCAUGGUGGGAGGAGGCUAUAUUGACGGCAUGUCAUGUCCUGAAUAAAGUUCCGACAAAGGAUAGUGAGAUCACUCCCUAUGAGAAAUGGGCAAAGAGAAGGACGACACUCUCGUACUUGCGCACUUGGGGCUGUUUGGCGAAAGUCAACGUGCCGAUCCCCAAAAAGCGUAAGCUUGGACAUAAGACCGUGGACUGCAUUAAUUUGGGCUACGCUAAGAACAGCGUUGGCUAUAGAUUUCUAGUAGUGAAAUCUGAGGUACCUGACCAGAAGAUCGGUACAAUUAUGGAGUCUAAGGAUGCUACAUUCUUUGAGGAUAUUUUUCCUAUGAGAGAUAUGCAAAGCACUUCUAGACAGGAAUCUGAGGAGACUCCUGAACCUGCCAUCCCUAUGGAAUAUUAUGAACAAACACAUGAUGAAAAUCCCGAGGAGGAUGACGAGGAAACCCUUGGUAGGGGCAAGAGACAAAGGACUGCAAAGACCUUUGGUGAUGAUUUCUUCGUGUACCUCGUGGAUGAUACUCCCACUUCUAUUUCAGAAGCGUAUGCCUCUCCAGAAGCUGACUACUGGAAGGAUGCGGUCCGUAGCGAGAUGGAUUCCAUCAUGGCUAACGGGACAUGGGAGAUCACUGACCGUCCCUAUGGUUGCAAACCACUGGGAUGUAAGUGGGUGUUCAAAAAGAAGCUUAGGCCCGAUGGUACGAUUGAAAAGUACAAGGCUAGGCUUGUGGCCAAGGGCUAUGACCAGCAAGAAGAGGAAGAUUUCUUUGAUACUUAUUCACUUGUGGCUAGACUGACCACCAUUCGAGUAUUACUCUCGUUGGCGGCCUCACAUGGUCUUCUCGUCCAUCAGAUGGAUGUUAAGACGGCUUUUCUAAAUGGAGAGCUAAAGGAGGAAAUCUACAUGCAACAGCCUGAUGGCUUUGUGAUAGAUGGUCAGGAAAGAAAGGUGUGUAGGUUGAUAAAAUCCUUAUAUGGCCUGAAACAAGCACCUAAGCAAUGGCAUGAUAAGUUUAAUACAACUCUGACAUCUGUUGGUUUCGUUGUUAAUGAGGCUGACAAAUGUGUAUACUAUCGCCAUGGUGGGGGCGAAGGAGUUAUACUGUGCUUGUAUGUUGAUGACAUACUGAUAUUCGGAACAAACCUCAAAGUCAUUGAGGAGGUCAAAUCGUUUCUAUCUCAGAACUUUGAGAUGAAAGACCUUGGUGUGGUUGAUGUUAUCUUGAACAUCAAGCUACUGAGAGAUAAUGAGGGUGGGAUCACACUUCUGCAAUCCCAUUACGUUGAGAAGGUGUUGAGUCGUUUUGGAUAUUCGGACUGCACACCAUCUCAAACACCAUAUGAUCCUAGCGUAUUGAUUCGAAAGUCCAAAGGCAUGGCUAAAGAUCAAUUGAGAUACUCUCAAAUCAUUGGUUCACUGAUGUACCUAGCGAGCGCAACGAGGCCUGACAUCGCGUUUGCUGUGAGCAAACUGAGCCGGUUUGUUUCCAAACCGGGUGAUGUACAUUGGCAUGCUGUUGAGAGAGUUAUGCGCUAUCUGAAAGGUACUAUGAACUAUGGACUUCACUAUACCGGAUACCCGUCGGUACUUGAAGGGUAUAGUGAUGCGAAUUGGAUCUCUGAUGCUGAUGAGAUGAAGGCCACAACUGGGUAUAUGUUUACUCUUGGAGGUGGCGCUGUUUCCUGGAAGUCUUGCAAGCAAACGAUCUUAACGAGAUCGACAAUGGAAGCAGAAUUAACGGCAUUAGACACAUCUGGUGUUGAAGCGAGAUGGCUUCGAGAUCUUUUGAUGGACUUGCCAUUGGUUGAUAAACCGGUUCCGGCUAUCCUUAUGAACUGUGACAAUCAGACUGUCAUCACCAAGGUGAAGAGUUCAAAGGACAACAUGAAGUCCACUAAACACAUAAGAAUGAGAUUAAAAGCUGUCAGAAAAUUAAGAAACUCCGGAGUGAUAGCGUUGGACUAUGUCCAUACGGCUAAGAAUCUGGCAGAUCCCUUUACAAAAGGGCUAUCACGUGUUGUGAUAGAUAAUGCAUCGAGGGAGAUGGGUAUGAGACCCACAUGAGUUGCCAUGGUGGUAACCCAACCUAUAUGAUCGGAGAUCCCGUGAACUAGGACCUGGGAAAACAAGCCAGUGGUGAACUGAGGAGAGUAACUAUACUAACCCACUCCGUUGGAGAUGCAAUACUCUCGAUACUGUAUGGUAGGAUGACUACGGUCUCAAUGUGUUCCAAAGCUUAUAAAAGCAAGAUGCUAUCCUACAGAGCGAUCUUUGGAGGAACACACCUAUAUGAGCCCGACUGCUGGUCACUGUCUAUGAGAUUGGGGUGAUCUCUAGUAAGCUCAUGAAUAGGCCAGGAGUGUGACUUAUAUGCUCCACCCGAGGGGUCAGCCUUCGGCAGCCUAGUACUAGUAAGACAUGUAGUGAAACUUCUUUACGCCAAACUGACAAUUCAAGGCAUAGUCCAUUGUUCAGUUGUGAAGGAGUGUAGCCACUUGUUCUAGGUGAAGUUCAAUCUUAACAGGUCUUUAGUGAAACACUGGUAUAUCGAAACAGCAAUUGGAACAGAGGACACAAUGGGCACUCGAGAUCUGGUGGGGGAUUGCUGAAAUCUGAGAUGGGCUCUAGGCCCAUAUUGCAAUUUCUGAAAAAUCUCUAAGGGCCCAUGUGGGUUAUAUGGCACUAGGUGUGGUGGGAAGUUUAGUCCCACCCCGGAAGUGGAAGGAGAGUUGGAGUGGUUUAUAAGGGUUUCUCUUCUACAUGCUAUUGGAGCUUGAGAAGAGAAGAGGCCCUCGCGCACUCCUCCUCCGCCGCCCGCCGCGCCGCGCCGCGCCGCGCCGCGGGUUGCGGGAUUGAGCCGAGCCGAGCUCACACCUACGCGCUUAUUUUUGCCAAACCACGCCCUUCUGGUUCCUGUAAGGGGCGAAUAGGUUUUUGGGCAGCGAUUACGCGACUGCUCGCUUCCGAUCGUCUACUUCCUCUACGUCCGCGUCGCCUUCGUCAUCACCAUGUCCACCGACGCCGACCGUGCCGCCGCCGAGAAAGCUGAAGCCGACAAGAAGGUCGCCGAGGACGCCGCUGCUGCCACCAAAGCCGCGGCCUCUGCGUGGCCUACUGGAGGGUAUAACUCGUUUAUCCCGCUCCUGAUUAUUUUCAUAUUAGCAGUACUAGCAGUAUGUGUAGAUUUGUCUACUGUUUGCUUAGUACGUACAUGUUUAGAUCAGAGUCAGUACGUCAUCAACUUAGUCAAUGCCAUGCUAGUGAUUUACUCAUGGAUUAAUUUAAUCGAGAAAUUGCCUAUUUACUCAACACUUUGCUAAGGCUAAACAAGAGCUGAUUGAGAUGGUGGAUGUCAACUCCAGAGAUGGUCUUUGCAAGGUGAUAUGUGUUGUUGGCAUGGGUGGUUUAGGCAAGACUACUCUCGCAAGGAAGGCAUUUGAAAGUAAGGAAGACAUUAAGAACACAUUUUCUUGUUGUGCAUGGGUCACCGUCUCGCAGUCCUUUUCCAAGAUAGAGAUGCUCAAGGACAUGAUUAGGCAACUUUUGGGUACCGAUUCAAUGAAGAAAUGCUUGAAAGAUCUUGAAGGCAAGUCAUUGCAAGUAGAUGAUCUCGGCAUAUACCUCAGGAAAGAGCUAGAGGAGAAGAGGUACUUUAUUGUUCUUGAUGAUUUGUGGUCCAUCGAUGCUUGGAAUUGGAUCACAAAUUUUGCUUUUCCUAUUAGAAACAAUAGAGGUAGCCGAAUAAUAGUAACAACACGAGAUGUGGGAUUGGCUGAGCAAUGCACUUCUGAAUCGCUUAUCUACCAUCUUAAGCACCUGCAAGCAGAUGAUGCCACAAAUUUGCUACUAAGAAAGAGUAGGAAAACGCAGAAAGACAUUGAAAAUGAUGAGACCAUGAAGACCGUGGUCGCUAAAAUAGUAAAGAAGUGUGGUGGUCUACCACUGGCUGUACUCACUAUAGGAGGCAUGCUUGCCACCAAAAAACUGUCAGAGUGGGAAAGUAUUUAUAAGCAGAUUCCCUCGGAGCUCGAGAUCAACCCUAGCCUCGAAGCAAUGAGGUCGAUAGUGACUCUCAGUUACAACCACCUGCCAUCUCAUCUCAAAUCAUGCUUUCUCUAUUUGAGCAUUUUUCCUGAGGAUUCUGAAAUAAAAAGGAGGCGUCUGGUAGAGAGAUGGAUAGCUGAGGGACUUGUCAGAGCCAAGGAUGGGAUACACUUACAUGAUGUUGGAAUAAGUUAUUUCACUGAGCUUAUCAACCGUAGCAUGAUUCAACCCUCAAAAGUGAGCAUAGAAGGGGACAUUAAGAGUUGCCGAAUCCAUGAUAUCAUGCGUGAUGUCAUGGCCUCAAUUGCUAGAGAGGAAAAUUUUGUGUACUUGGUGGGAGAUGAUGUAACCAGUGCCGUGGAGGGCAACUUUCGCCAUGUAGCAUACCAUGGUAGCAAGUGCCAAGAUAUAGGCAUUGAUUGGAGCCAUGUGCGGUCAAUAACCAUGUUUGGUGACAGACCUGUGGAGUCAUCACCUUCACUUUGUUCACGUGACGGGAGGAUUCUAAGAGCCUUGGAUCUAGAGGAUCCACAUUUUGGAGCCACACAGAUAGAUAUCAAUAAUAUAAGGUUGUUCCGUCACUUGAAAUAUGUGAAUCUAUUCUAUGAUAAGGGUAUACAAAUAUUUAUAAGCUUCCAAGAUCCAUAGGAAAAUUACACUUCUUGCAGAAAUUGGACAUAAGGAACACUCAUAUAUCAACCCUACCAAAUGAGAUUAGUAAACUUGAGUGCCUCUUUAGCCUCCGGUGUACAAGAAAAUAUGAGUACUCCUAUUUUGAUCUACAUAGCCCCAAAGAUUGCUUGAUGCACACACUCUGCUUGCCAAUGCCGUUCACACAGUUUGUUGAUCCUGAUGAGCACGCCGAGAAAAUUGCAGAGCUACACAUGGCCUGUUCUAGCUGUUGUUCUGUGUCAGUGGGUGUGAGGAUCCCGAAAGGGUUCAGCAACCUUAAAGUCUUACAAGUACUAGAGGUUGUGGAUGUGAAACGAACCAGCAGCAAGGCAGUUAAAGAGUUGGGAGAGCUUAUGCGGCUUAGGAAGCUACGAGUGGGAACAGCUGGUGCCACCGAGCAGAAGUGCAAGGUACUCUGUGAGGCUAUCGAGAAGCUAUCUUCCCUCCGCUCUCUUCAUGUGGAUGCUGAUAGCUGGAACUGGGCUUGCUCGUUUGGAAAACUUGAUUGGCUGCAUUCUGUUUCCUCUCCUCCCCCACUCAUGAAGAGCCUCAAGCUGAAUGGAUUUCUUGGAGAGAUACCAGACUGGAUUGGGAGUUUGAUGCAUUUGUUGAAGAUUUACCUACAGGGGAGCAAACUGAUGGGAGGUAAAAGUAAAACAAUGGACUUAUUAGGGACACUGCCGAACCUCAAGCUUCUUGGUUUUUCCAAGAAUGCUUAUGUUGGAGGUAAGCUAGUCUUCGGAGAGGGAGCAUUCCAAAAUCUCAGAAAACUUGAUUUUAGUGCCUGUAGUGAAGUGAAAGAAGUGAGAUUUGAGGACGGCACCUCGCCCCACAUGGAAAAGAUACAAUUUGCCCAUUGCAGGUUGCCAUUAGGCUUGGUGCGCUGCAAGGUGAUCUGGGCGUGCACCCCAACCAUCCUGUUCUGCGACUCCUCGAGGACUGGAGCCACCACGACCUGGGUGACAUCUUCCAAGGAUCCACUACUGUAGUACAAGUGGAGGAACCAACGGAGGGACAGGAAUCAUCUCUCCAUCCUGACCCUGCAGCAGCGGGAGAGAGCUCCUCCCCCCCAGGUGGCGGUGGUGACGACGGGGAGCGACAGGUCAGCUAGCUACUUUAUCUUUCGUUCAGUAGCAAGUACAGUACUCCCUCCGUAAACUGAUCACUAAGUUUACGGAGGGAGUACUGUACAAUCUAUCUUCCUGUUGAUGUUAGUUACUAGGCACUUACAAUCUAUCUCCCUUCUCUUCUGUUUUCUUGCCGUUUAACAGCGAAGAUGAUCUGCGGUGAAGACGAGGUUCAGUUGACCCCUGCUGGAUGCUGCAGUUAGGCUGCCACUAUGAAACUCCUGCUUCCAUGCGUGUACCUCUUCCGACCAAAUCUACAUCAGUUUGCACUUUGCACUCGAUUCAGUUUCGGUUUCUGACCAUGUUUUUCCCGCUUCUAACAGGAGGCGUUAACAUUUCAUCGGUUAACAUUUCGUCCCCAUGAAAUGCCUUGCUUCCAUGUGUGUAUCUCUUCGACCAAAUCUCCAUCAGUUUUUUUCCCACUCUAUUCAGUUUGGGUUUCUGACGGUGCUUGUAUUACCCUCCCUGCCACUUUAUUACAUUUGCACUAACCCUUACGUCCCUCUCGGGUUGCCUCCCUGCGGGCGACUCGGGAGGACUCCGCCGCCGCCGCCUAGUCCCUCCAGCGCCCUUCUCCCCCUCCGCCGCUGCCGAUGGUCGGCGCCGGGCAAAGCCCGUGCGUGCGACGGUGGCGGCGGGUGGUCUUUUCUCCCGUUCCCGGACCCACGGCGGCGCGGGCGUCCUGAUCUGCGCGGUGCGGCCCUUCCGACGGUCUGUCGGAUCCAGGAGGCGGCGAAUCAUGUCUUGGGUCAAUAGUUGGAUUUGUCCGGCUUCCUUGUUUUGGUACCUUACGUUCCGUUAUAUCGGCUAAGGUAGCGCAGGGAGAACUACUGACGGGUUUUUUUUUGCGGGGGGACUACUGCGAUUGUGUCCCAGUUCUUCCGGACGAGCACCUCAGUAGAGAAAGUCGAGAACUGACUGUCAUGAUGCGGCAAGAGCUGGUCGCUGUUUGAGAGGUAUUAAAUCCUUAAAGAUUUUUUCCGCUUAAGGCGAGGAAUCGGCCUUAUCCGAUUUAGGCGUGUAUAGCACCCCAAGUUCGGCCUUCCGACUGCUAGGGCGUUGAAAUUUAAAAUUAUAGACUCCUAUGGCUAAGUGAGAGUUAUAAAGCCGUAUAGUCCGAUUGCCUGGUUCGCUGCGCUAAACACCUCUUUAAAGGACCAAGAAUUUGGAUAAAGAGUGUUUGGGUUUAUCACAAACACCCUAGUACUAGUUACGUGGGGGCGGAAACCGACGACUGGCCUACUUUCAGAAUUUUAUAAACAGCCGCACAGAAGGUAAUAUUUUAAAUCCAAAAGCAUUACAUCACACACAAGAAAUUGUUUUCAUAUUACAGAAGGACAUGAGUACAUUCACUCAAAAAUUAUAUCCUUGGUACAUUCAUCGGCCACAAGGCAAACGCCUUUCAUAACACCAUCAUAAUAUUUCUCGGGGUAGCGAUGUGCCUUACCCUCCGGCGGUCCAUCCUUCACCAGCUUCUCUGCAUCCAGUUUGGCCGAAUACAUCUUUGCACGAGCAAAGGCCCGACGGGCACCCUCAAUACAGACGGAUUGCUUAAUAACUUCAAGCCACGGACUGGCAUUUACCAUCCGCUUUACAAGGCCGAAGUAGCUGUCGGGCAGGAGCUCACUAGGCCACAUCCGGACUAUGAGGUCCUUCAUGGCCAGUUCGGCCGCCUUGUGGAGUUCGACCAAUUGCUUCAGUUGGUCACUUAGGGCCAUUGGGUGUUCGUCUCCAGUAUACUGGGACCAGAGCAACUUCUCCGUCGAGCUCCCCUCUUCGGCACGGUAGAACUCCGUGGCAUCCAAUAUGCUGCGUGGCAGAUCUGCGAAUGCCCCUGGAGAGCUCCGAGUUCAGGUAAGUAAAAGAAAUGUCUCCUCCACAUGCUUGCUUUGCAUAAUGAAUGCCUUACCCGUCGCUAUCUUCUUGGCCACCUGGAUUUCCUAAAGGGCCUUUUGGGCUUCAGCCUUGGCGCCUUUCGCGCUCUGGAGGGCCUUUGCAAGCUCAGACUCUUGCGUCUUGAAGUCAUGCUCCAAGGACUCAAACUUCUUGCCAAACUCCUGGAGCUCUUGUUGUACCUCGCUCACUCGAGCAUCUUGCUUUUCACACUCAGUGUGCUCCGUGGCCGCCUUGUCUUCGGCCUCCAAUAGCGCUUUCUUCAGGGCCGCCACUUCGGUCGUGGCCCCUAUUAAAAAAUCAUGAUGCUUUUUGUUAGCGUCACCAAUUUUUCCUCCUCUAUAUGACACACGGACGGGGUAUCACUUACCUUCGUUCUCUUCGAGCUGCCUAUUGGUGAGGCUGAGCUCUUCUUCGGCCUGCCUCAGGUACUGUUUGAGUCCGGGGACCUCCGCUGUGCGGGCAGCAGCGGCCAGCAGCAACGCCUGCUUAUUCACAUAGACACGUGCUGUUAGACUCCUGCGGUUUAGAGUUGACCCUCCGUUUGUCUUUUCUUCCCGAACACCAAACAUAGUAUCAGGGGCUACUGUCUAUUGGGUGAUAAUUUCUCACACUUUUUAUUACUUACCUCAAAGCCUGUUAGGAGGCUGGUGCAGGCUUCGGUCAAUCCACUUUUGGCAGACCAAACCUUUUCAAUCACCGUACUCAUAAGAGUACGGUGCUCUUCAUCAAUGGAAGCGCCGCAAAGCACUUCCAGUAAAUUAUCCGAUGCCUCCGGCGGGAUGGAGGUCAUCAGCAUGGCCGGCUCACCCUCCUUAGCGAGGGCUGCCUACCUGGAUCCGGAACCUUUAGAGGUUCCGGUGCAGUGUCCGGCUAGGAGCCCAACUUGCUGCGGCUCUCAUCAGCAUAGUCUAUGGGGAUCUUACCCCCCAUGUGCCCGGCAUCUGGAAUUUCACCUUAGGGCGUCUCCAGAAGCGCCGCCCCCUAUUCCGGUAUCCUUUGGGACAACACCUCAGUGUCAUCCGCGGGGCGAGGGGAGGUGGCCGUCGGGAGUGAAUUGAUCUCCGACUCACUCAGAGACCCAUCCGAAGAGGAUACCUCGAGAUGGGACCCGGCCGGACUGCAUAUGCGUGUUCAGCGUUAUUACAAACUAUGAAGUUAAGGUGCAUGAAAGGUAUUACAAAGUGCGGAUACUUACGAUCUCGCCAGGGGCUUGCCCCUGGCAACCAUUCAUCCUCGCUGUAGGCGGUCGUGGUGGAGUGAUUCGGAAGGGAUGCCUUCCCCUUCUUCGGCGUCCUAGCCUCCCCCUGUGGGGCGGCUUUUCUUUUGUUCUCCUCCCCAAUGCAGGGAGGGGGAAUUUCUUCAUGUUUCCCCCGUCUCCGUGGGAGGAAUCUGCCUCGCCGUCCUCGAACGACGAGUCUAUUACGACCCUGCGCCGGAGACCUUUCCUGGUCCCUGUGGCCGCUUUCUUGGACCUUUUGGCCUCCCCGGAUGGGGCGGCCUUCCUCUUCUUCUCCUCCCCUUCAUGGGAGGAGCGCGCCUCAUCGUCUUCGGACGAGGCGUCCGGUGCAACCUUGCGCCGGAGACCCUUCCUGGUCCCCGUGGAGUUCUUUUCGGCCUUCUUCUCCGGCACCUUGUAAGGCGCUGGAGCUAGCAUCUCCGUCAGGAGUGCGGUUGCUGGAUCUUCCGGCAGCGGAACUGGACAGUCGAUCCGCUCCGCCGUCGCCACGUAAUCCUGUUUGGAUAAGCAUGGUGACUUAAAAUCCUCCCACGAAUAUCUUGGGAAAGGUACAUCUUGUGAUGUUCAGAGAACUUACCGGAUUGGCGAGUCGCGUGGCGCUGAGUCCGUGGUCCUCAGAAGUGGGAGGAGGAACUUCGCCGGCCUUGAACAGCACCUUCCAGACAUCCUUAUGCGUCAUGUCAAAAAGCUCUCGCAGCAUCUGGUGUUCGGCUGGAUCGAACUCCCACAUAUUGAAUGCCCAUCUUUGACACGGGAGGGUCCGGCGGACGAGCAUGACCUGGACCACGUUGACGAGCUUGAUCUUCUUGUCUAUCAUAUUUAUGAUGCAGUUCUGGAGUCCGGUCAGCUCCGCAGGUUCACUCCAGGCCAGACCCUUUUUUUCCAGGAGGUGAGCCGCAUGGGGAUGCCGGAUCUGAAUUCGGGGGCCGCCGCCCAGUUGGCGUCGCGCAGCUCGGUGAUAUAGAACCACCCCGAUUACCACCCUUUCAUGGUCUCCACGAAGGAGCCAUAAAGCCAGGUAACGUUGGGCAUUCUGCCCACCAUGGCGCCUCCGCUCUCCGCUUGCUCGCCGCUCAUGAUCUUCAGCUUCACGCAGAAGAUUUGUAGCCACAUGCCAAAGUGGGGCUUGAUGCGGAGGAAGGCCUCGCACACGACGAUAACGUUGAGAUGUUGAGGACGAAAUUUGGAGCUAGAUCAUGAAAAUCUAGCCCAUAGUAAAACAUGAGCCCGCGGACAAAUGGGUGAAGUGGAAAUCCUAGUCCACGGACGAAAUGAGAGAGGAACACUACUCUUUCCCGAGACUUUGGGGUGGGGGUGAUCUGUCCCUCCGCUGGAAGCCUGUGCGCGACAUUUGCGGCCAGGUAUCCGGCCGCCCGAAGCUUGGUAAUGUCCUCCUCCGUGACGGAGGAGGCCAUCCACUUGUCUCCCGCUCCGGACAUGCUGCGAAUGGUCCUACGGAGAAGGUGAGAACUUGGGCGCUGGGGCUCGAGAGUGCGAGAAUGGAUGAGUAAAGGAGGAAGAAGGCGUGGGUGAAAAUGGGGAAUCCUUGUCUUUUUAUAGAGGCGGUGAAAACUGUGCGCCUCCCCACUUGCCUGUUAAAAUCGUUUAUUUUCCAAGCGCCACGUUAAAUGGCAUGGUUGGGUUACCCGUACCCGUAUUAAUGAGAAUCCCGUGAUAAGGGGACACAAUCUCUGCUUCAACAAGACGUGCCAAGGAAACCGCCUCGCAAUAUGUGCGGUGGCUGGUUGUGAACAAACGGUUCGAUAAAGACCCAGCCAUGGCGUGAUGUCACGUUAUCUAAAGUUGUCAGCAGAUUAGAUUUGUGGAAUAUUGUUCUCUCUACGGUGGUAUGUGAAAUUUGUCUUGCAGAGCCGGACACGAUUCUUGUGUUCAAAAUCCUCUACGGAGUAUUCGGAGAUGGAAUCCGCCUUGCAAUGCCGAAGACAAUCUGCGCGCCGAACUCAUCGUCAUUGAAGCCUGGUUCAAGGGCUACUGAGGGAGUCCUGGAUUAGGGGGUAUCCGGAUAGCCAGACUAUAUACUUUGGCCGGACUGUUGGACUGAUUGAAGACUUCGUCCCGUGUCCGGAUGAGACUCUCCUUUGCGUGGAAGGCAAGCUUGGCGAUUCGGAUGUUAGAUCUCCUUCUCUGUAACCGACUCUGUGUAACCCUAGCCCCCUCCGUUGUCUAUAUAAACCGGAGGGUUUAGUCCGUAGGAUAAGGACAAUCAUAAUCAUAGGCUAGCUUCUAGGGUUUAGCCUCUACGAUCUCGUGGUAGAUCAACUCUUGUAAUACUCAUAUCAUCAAGAUCAAUCAAGCAGGAAGUAGGGUAUUACCUCCAUCGAGACGGCCCGAACCUGGGUAAACAUCGUGUCCCCAGUCUCCUGUUACCAUUAGUCUUAGAUGCACAGUUCGGGACCCCCUACCCGAGAUCCGCCGAUUUUGACACCGACAACCACCACAAGGACUUUUUGCUGCUAAACUCUAAUUUGCAAAGCGAAUCCGAUGAAAUUCACAGAUUUAAUGGCAUAUAUAGCAACAGGCGAUUGUUUUCGUCAACUCAAAUUUGUGGAAAACGGAUAACAAUAGAUGCAAUAAUCAUUCUCUGUUUAUAAACAUGCACAAACAUUUUCUUCAACCAAACAAGCACCAACAUGGACUGCACUGUUAGCUGUUAGGUAAGACUUCCAGGUCGGUCUAGGGAGCUGCCUGUUCCAUGUAUAGUUAUACGCAUACCUAGCCGCCUCCUCCUCCCAACCCUAGCCGCCUCUCCUCCUCACCCCCUCCCCUCCUCCAUCCCUCGCCGCCCCCAGAGGCAGCUGCCGGGCAAGCCCGGGGCGCCAAGGAUGGUGGCAGCGGGGCCUCGGUUGCCCUGCUCCUGUGUGGGGAACCCCGGAUCUGGAGCGGCGGCUCCAUUGGGAGGCAUGGCCGGCUAACAGUCAUGCGGGUGGUGGAUCCGGUGCCCCGACCGCGCGGGCGGCAGGAUCUGGUGGUCGUUGGCGGCCGGCGGCGGCUUUUGCGGUGGUCGGUGUGCGUGAUCUGGCGCCUCCCUUCCUCCCCUGUUCGGCGUGCGGACCAGCCUGGUCGGGCCUCCCUUCCUCUUGGUCACCGGUUCUGUACAAGAGGUGCUGGUGGUGGCGGAGAUCUAGUUCGGGCGAAAUCCCUGGCCUGCCAUGACCGUUCGCGCCGACGACGACGCCUAAGGGCGUCGUUUCCCUCUUUGGAGGCGUCGGUAUGGACUGAUCUCCUCACUUCACCUUCCCCUAGGUCUCUCGGGUGAAAGCCCUAACUCUGUUGGGCGGCGGCAGCGCUCGCGGCAUUGUUCCCUUCUUGAAGGCGCCGCUUUGGGAACCUUGGGGUUGGGUGGCGCUUGUGGGUGGUGGGCGACGGCGGUGGUGCAGCCCUUUCCUAGCAUGGAUUUACGUCUGUUGCUUGGAGAUGGACUCGCGUAGGUGGAGGUCGUCGGCUGGCGUCGUGGUGGCGUCAAUGGCGGAGGACCUGCCAAGGCUCGCGUAGGUGGAGGUCGUCGUUUGGCGUCGUGGAGGCGUCAAUGGCGGAGGACCUGCCAAGGUUGUCACCUCCAUCUGCUCUGAAGAUGGACGAGUGAAAGAUGGCGGCGACGACACAUGUGAGUGCGUCAGACCGGUUUGAGUCCCGGACCCGGCAGAUGGCUCGGUCGGGGCCUCCAGCUUUAGAUGUCAGGCUUAGGUGAGAGGUAUGGGUAUGUGGCCCAUCUUGAACCCCUUCAUCAUUUGGAUAGUAGUAGCGGCAGAUGCUGCCAAGAUGGCGGAUUCAGUCAUAUUGUUGUUAUACUUUGUAAGGUCCUCGAGAAUAAUCAAUAAAAUGGCCGUAUGCAUCUCCCAGAUGCAGAGGCCGGGGGUCAUCCUCCUUUUCGAAAAAAAACCAAGCACCAACAUAGUGGCAACAACAAAUGGAGACUAAUAAAUCAUCUUCAAGAAAACAGAGUACUACAAACAGAGCAAGUCUGUUUUCUGAAUUGCAUGUCUUCUCGUCAGGUUAAUUAGAGGAGCACUUCUCUUCCAUUCCCAGUGGCGAAAUUCUUCGACUUACACCAUAUCAGAGGCCACCAUCCAGCGGACAAUUUGGAGAGCUGAAUGUGAUGGCCAAUUGCAGCCUAACAAUAUAUGCAGCUUAAUUGGUAGGGCUAUCCUGUCCAUGGCAUUUUCCACGUCUUCUCCCCAGCUGAAAGACAUAUAUAUAUAUAUAUAUAUAUAUAUAUAUAUAUAUAUAUAUAUAUAUAUAUAUAUAUAUAUAUAAUAUCUAUUAUGUGUUCAAGCCAAAAAAAAAAGCAUGACAAAUCACGCUGAGCAAUGUAACAUGAUAUACUCACUACAAAUAAAGAAAAGGAGUUGUUGCUUGCUUAACUCACCAGCUAGGACUGUCGAGUGUCGAGCAUGUGAACUUCCUCCUGGAUCAGAAAGAAAUCCCAUGGCUCCCAACUACAGGUCAUCCAAUAUGCAUCUAAAAGAUAAUUAUGCUCAGUCUUAAAUUCAGUAGCAGAAACAUUAAACUCUAACAGGAGUUGAGACAAUCAAUUGCUUUGCAUGCAUGAAAAUUAUCCCGAAAACAUGGCCAGAAAUCAGAUGGAAUCAAAGAAAUUGAAGAACCGAAGGAGGGGGUACCUUGAUUUUUUGUGAAUUAUCAGCAACAAGUGGAAACGAGCAACAGCUCCUGUUAGAGACAGAGAAACAAACAUGGUCAGAAACACAAACUGAAUAGAGUGAAGCGAACUGAGGGGGAUUUAAUCCAAAGCAUGGCGUUUCAUGGCGACGACCUGAGCGAGAGAGGUGGGAGGCUCGUCAAGGCUACAAACUGGUCUUCAGCGCAGAUCAUCCUCACUGUUAAAAGUAGAAGAGAAAUGGAUUGUAAGUGUAUAAUAAACAUCACUAGCUGACAGUCACAGCUACUGAAGGAAAGUGAAAUUAACAGCUGGCAGUUGCUUCCUCCACUUGCACUGCUGUGCUGGAGACUUGGGCGACGUCACUGCUGUAGUGGAGACUUGGCAGCACAGGAUGGUUGGGGUGCGUGGCAAGCUUUGCCACUUGACCAUAUGAUACAAAUGAAACUUCCUUGAGAUUUGGAGGUGUUUGAUGCCAGUAAUCCCCGAAGACAAUGUGCAGCCACUGAUUUCUAUCUUUUCCAAUAGGGGCGAGGUGCCCACCUCAAAUGUCAACUCUGUCAGUUGAUCCAGGAUCAAAAUAUCAAGUCUUGUGCGACUUGGCAAUGUUUCUGCUCUGAAAACCAGUUUCUCCCCAACAUACGACUGCCAGGAGAGACGAAGGACCAUGAGCUUAGGCAGUGCGCCUAGUAAUUCCAUGCUUUUGUCACCAUCCUUCAGAUUGCUCGCCAAAUUUACCAGAUCCCCAAACCAGUCAGGCAUCUCCCCAAGAUCUCCAUCCCAAAAUAAAUCUAUGGGUUCCAUAUGCGACCGCGUGGCCUUAUGUUGUUAAACUAUAAUUGGCAAAGGAAAACCGAUAAGAAUCACAAACUUAAUGGCGUAUAUAGCAGGCGCGUAAUUUCACCAACUCAUAUUUUGCGGAAAAUGGAUGACAGCAGAUGCAUCGUCAUUCUUCAGUUACAAACAGGCACAGACAUAGUGGCAGCAAGAAUUUGAGAGCAUUUAAUCAUCUUCAAGAAAACAGAGUACUAGAAACAGAGUAAAUGUGUACUACAAACAGAGUACUAAGGGACUGCUCUGCUUCCAUGGAGUCGGAGCGCUUUGCUGCCGUUUGGAGUGCAGAGAAUUCAAACCAAUUCUUAAAUUUGUGGAACAUGGAUAACAACAUAUGCAGUCCUCAUUCUUUGAUUACAAACAAGCACAAGCAUAGUGGCAGCAUCAAACAGAGAGGAAGUAAACAUCUCUGAAAAAACAGAGUAAGUGCUAGAAAAUAAAGUAAGUCUGUAUUCAAAAUUGCAGGUCUUCUCAUCAGGUUGGUCAGAAUCGUUUUUUCAGCUGGGCUAACGGUUGUAACUUGUAAACACCUCCUGAGUAGCGGUGCAGCUUGCUACUCCCUUUGAUAACACUGAAGCCCUGAGACCAAUCCGCUCCUCUUACAUUCCCAGUGAAGAAAUGAUAAGAUCCCUCUCAGCUUCACCUUGCACCAUAUCAGAGGCCACCACCCAGCAGAGAACUUGGAGAGCUGAACGUGAUGGCCAAUUUCAGCAUCAAAGUAUGCAUAUGCAUCUUAAGAAGCAGCAGCAUCUCGUGUGGUGU